rnacentral:lncRNA from 1 species
CAGGAACAAGAGGGCUCUCGCAGCUGCUUAGCAGCUACGCUCGGGCCCUAAUAAUAACAAAAGAAGAAUCCAUCAGGAACAAGAGGGCUCUCGCAGCUGCUUAGCAGCUACGCUCGGGCCCUAAAGAAGAAGAAAGAAGAAUCCAUCAGGAAUAAUAGGGCUCUCGCAGCUGCUUAGCAGCUACGCUCGGGCCCUAACUAUUGUAGUAUAGGAUGCAAUGUUGUUAAGAACAGUUUCAGCUGGAAAACAAGCAAGUGUAACAAUAACCCAGUUUAUACAGAAUAAUCUGGCAAUAUGAUUACUGCACAGCUUUAACAUUGAUGUAAGUAAAAGAUUAGCUGACACGAACAAAAAAGGAGUGAUCACAGAGAAACACACCAACUUCACCAGUCUCUGCUUUGACAUGAGGGAGUGGUACUCCAAUGGUCGACAUAUUGCCACAUACCUGUCAUAGGCCAUUACUGCAAGGAUUGAUAAAUCACCACAGGCGAAAUUGUGCAUUACCAUUGCCUGAAUUAGACAUCCAGAAUAAGAGAUAACAUGGACUGGAGACAGCAGAUCCCAGAGAAGCUUUGGGUAGAAACCAGUUGAUCCAAACAGCCCAUUAAUGCAGAAUGCACACAGUAGAAUAUACAUGGGUUCAUGCAGGUUUUUAUCUAUGAUGAUCGUCACAAUGAGAACUAAAUUAACAAACAAAAUCGAACAGUAACAAAGUAAAGUGAGAGAGAAAAUGACAGAGCGGUAUUUCUUUGUCUCAUUGAGACCUGAGAGAAAAAACACUGAAGAGUUGUCCAUCGAGACAAGCUGUUUUAUGUAGGGGGCAUAAUUGGUAUAACCCAGUCCCUAACAGUCUGAGCUCUCUGUUUUACUGGUAUUAAUGUAUUUUAAGAUUAUAUAAACACAAGAUGGGAAUUCAAAUGAACCAAUCGGUGUAGCUUGCCUGAUCAUCACCUGGAUACAAACUCUAAACACAACACAAAAUGAAAAUUAGAAUCAGAGGCAUGUGGAUUGUGAAAAAAUAUUUUAACUCUCAGUGUCCACAAUUAAAUGUUCUUGUCUCCUUUUCAUGUUGGUUUCUUUUCUAUUCAAACACAGUGAUAGAAGAAGAAACAUGAAGAGGAUGUUUUGAGUCUGAGUCCAUGAAUUAAAAUUAAAACAUCUUUUUGAGUGUAUGAAGCAGAUGGACCAUUCAAAGUGUGUUAAUUGAUGACCAAUUCAACUCUACUUAAGUUGUUUAGGUUUAUUACAUAAACAUGGAUGAAUUGAUAUACUUGAAAAUAGGUGUAUUAAUUUAUUUUGGACAAGUCAUUGAAUACUCCUGACAUUAUUCAGGCCAUUUACCCACUAUCGCUCCUGUUGUCAGUGCAGACGCACUCAAGCACAAAUGUAAAUUAUUAAAAUCUAACUAAGCUGACUAAACACAGCAUGUCUUACAGCUGUCACUUUUGUUGGCUUGUAAGUCUGUUACUGGUGGUCAGGGCUCCACAUUUUAAAAGAACUUACAAAAUAUUAAAACUAGGAGGGAAAGUAAUGGCAAAAAAAAACCAAUUCAUCUAAUGCAGACUUUUCCCCCAUACUUCCUCCUUAUUCAAAUAUUUCAAUUGCAUAAUUUAGAAUAUUGUUAUCAUAAACAUAACUGAUUAGAUGGUAAAUACUUCGUGUUGCAUCUUUACAGGUUAAAACAAAGUUAGUAUUAAUAUAGUUUUGUCAGCCUCCUGACUGUAAUCAAAUUAUUUGGCGUGAACAAAACCCAGAAUUCUGUUUCUAAUCUUCUUCAGUUUAAAACCAUAGAUAAGUGGGUUCAUUAGAGGGGGUAUGAUAAGAAACUCUAUUGAAAUAAAGUUUUUGAUGGUUUGAGAUACACUUUUAGAACCAUAUCUGAGAUACAUAAGAUCAAAAAGAAUUGUCACAAGAAAAGUCAACAGCGAGAUAACAUGAGGCACACAUGUCUGCAUGAACUUUGCUCUGUUUUCUAUAGAAUUCACACAAGUUUUGAUGAGAUAGGCGUAGGACCAAACUAUAAAAACACCAUGAAGAAAAUAAAUUACAAUGGAGAUAUAGGCAACUAUGUUAUUAAGAACAGUUUCAGAUUGAAAACAAGCAAGGGUAACAAAAACCCAGUUUAUACAGAAUAAUCUGGCAAUAUGAUUACUGCAGAGCUUUAACCUUGAUGCCAAGUAAAUGUUAGUUGAUAUUACAGCAAAAGGAGUGAUCACAGAGAAACACACCAACUUCACCAGUCUCUGCUUUGACAUGAGGGAGUGGUACUUCAGCGGUCGACAUAUUGCCACAUACCUGUCAUAGGCCAUUACUGCAAGAAAUGAUAGAUCACCACAGGCAAAGGUUUGCAUUAUCAGAGCCUGAAUUAGACAUCCAUAAUAAGAGAUAACAUGGACUGGAGACAGAAGAUCCCAGAGAAGCUUUGGGUAGAAUCCAGUUGAUCCGUACAGCCCAUUAAAGCAGAAUGCACACAGUAGAAUAUACAUGGGUUCAUGCAGGUUUUUAUCUAUGAUUAUCGUCACAAUCAGAACUAGAUUAACAAACAGAAUCGAACAGUAACAAAGUAAAGUGAGAGAGAAAAUGACAAAGCGAUAUUUCUUUGUCUCAUUGAGACCUGAGAGAAAAAACAUUGAAGAGUUAUCCAUUGAGACAAGUUUUUUUAAGGAGGAGGCAUAAUUGGUACAACCCAGUCCCUCACAGUCUGAGCUCUCUGUUUUUACUCGUAUUAAUGUACUUUAAGAUUACAUGAACACAAGAUGGGAAUUCAAAUGAACCAAUCACUGCAGCUUGCAUGAUCGUCACCUGGAUACAAACUAUAAACACAACACAAAAUGAGAAUAAGAAUUAAUAAUAAUAAUAAUAAUAAUAAUUUUAUUUAUAUAGCACCUUUAAAAACAGAAGUUUACAAAGUGCUUAGACAACAGUUGUAAGCACAGAGCAUCAGCACAUUGAAAAUAAAAACACAUAAAAACAAAAGCUCAGUUAAAAAACAGGCAUCUGAAUUGUAGGCCUGUUUCACUUUUCGUAAGAAACCCAGGCAAUACAAGAACCCUACAAAAUAAAUGGGACCAUGAGGACCAAAAUAAAAGCAAAAAAAAACAAAAAAAAAAGAAAUAGAAAAGGAGGGAAGAAAACAGGCUAGUAAGUAUAAAAGAGGAUAUUAAUAAUAAUAAUAAAAUCAUAAUAAAAUAAAAUGAUGGUAAUAUAAAUGAUAAAGUGGAAUUAAAUAUAUAUAUAUAAAAUAAAGUAAAAUGAAAACAUUAAAAUCAAUAAAAAGAUUAUAAGUAAAACAAAGGCUAAAAAGGCAGUAAGUCUAAAUAAGAAAGAGGUGAAAGAGGUAAAAGAAAAAGGAGAAAAAUAAAAACGGUAAAAGGCAAUAAAAGAUGAAAGAUGGCAUCACAUAAAGGCAAGUCUGUAAAAGUGAGUUUUUAAAAUUGACUUAAAAGAAGCGACUGUCUCUGCACGCCUUAUCUCCUCUGGCAGGUCGUUCCAAAGUCGAGGAGCUCUGAUGGAGAAAGCUCUAUCACCUUUAGUCUUGAGCCUCGACUUUGGAACGACCAGGAGGCCUUCGCUAGAGGAUCUGAGGCUGCGAGUUGGCUCAUAAGAUAUUAAAAGCUCUGAAAUGUAGCUUGGAGCAAGUCCUUUGAGCGCUUUAAAAGUAAUCAAUAAAAUCUUAAAAUCAAUUCUAAAGCUGACAGGAAGCCAGUGAAGGGAGGCUAAAAUUGGGGUGAUGUGAUGCCGUCGACUAAAACCAGUUAAAAGUCUAGCUGCUGCAUUCUGAACUAGUUGGAGGCGAGAGAGUGAUUUCUUGUUUAGACCAGGGAGGAGAGAGUUACAAUAGUCCAGUCUUGAGAAAAUGAAGGCGUGGAUUAUCUUUUCGAGAUCUGGUGGGGUGAGUAUUUGUUUAAUCUUUGAAAUGGAGCGCAGGUGAAGGAAACAGGACUGGACAAUCUUGUUGAUAUGGGUGGAGAAGGUGAGGUCUGAAUCAAAGGUUACUCCCAGAUUUCUGGCUGUUGGUUUGAUGAUUACUGAGUGUGGACCGAGACAAGACUGAAUGAGGGGGGAGUUUUGUAUGUUACAGAGAAUUAUUUCAGAUUUUGAAUAAUUUAGCUGAAGGAAAUUUUGUGCCAUCCAACAGUUAAUGUCACUUAGACAGUCCAUGACAGCAGCUAGGCCUCUUGGGUCCUCAGGUCUCAAAGGAAGGUAUAUCUGUGUGUCGUCUGCAUAGCAGUGAAAGGAGACUUUGUGGCGCUGAAUUAAUUGGCCGAGGGGCAGCAUGUAUAUAGAAAAUAAAAUUGGACCUAAAACUGAACCUUGCGGAACACCACAGGCGAUAGCAGAAGUAGAGGAGGUGUGAUUGCCUAUGGUGACCGCAAAGGUUCGUUCUAAAAGAUACGACUGAAACCAGCCAAGUGCAGUGCCCCUGACACCCACCCAGUUUUUAAGACGUUCAAUUAAAAUGGUAUGAUCAACUGUAUCAAAAGCUGCACUGAGAUCUAAAAGAAUUAAAAUUGAGCCCUCCCCUCUAUCUGCUGCUAAAAGAAGGUCAUUGGUCACACGGAGGAGGGCAGUCUCAGUGCUGUGACCUGCUCUAAAACCAGACUGAAAUUUCUCAAAGAGGUUGUUUUCGGACAUAAAACCUAAAAGCUGUUUAGAAACCACCUUCUCUAAAAGUUUGGAUAAAAAUGGAAGUUUUGAAAUUGGUCUAAAAUUGUUAAAAUCAGAGGGGUCAAGGUUUGGCUUCUUUAAAAGGGGUUGGACCACAGCGUGUUUAAAAGCAGAGGGAAAUACUCCCUCCACUAGAGAGCUAUUAAUGAUGGAUAAAAUGCAAGGCCCAACCACGUUAAAAACCUCUUUGAGAAAUCUGGUGGGGAUAGAAUCAAGACUGCACGUAGCUGGUUUCAUUUUGGCUAAAAUAUCAGAUAAAAAUUUUAAGGACACCGGCUCAAAACUACUAAAAAAGUGCUUAACUUCCCGGCUUAAGAGCACAGGGAGACUGGGAGGGGUGAUUUGAUGCCUGAUGUCCAUAACCUUGUUAAUAAAAUGAAUUAAAAACUUCUCACAGGUUUCUUGAGAAUCAUCAGUAAAAUAAGAGGGGGAAGGGUUUGAAAGAGACUCUAAAACCUUGAAUAAAAUUCUGGGGUUUGAAUAAUUAGCUAAAAUCAAAUUUGAGUAAAAUGCUGCCCUUGCAUCCUUAACUGCCUUCUGGUAGUUUUUCAAGGAGUCUCUCCAAAUUUCGAGGAAAACCACCAACCCAGUUUUCUUCCAUUUGCGUUCGUUUCGUCUACAAAUUCUCUUUAGUUCAUGGGUGGACUCUGUGAGCCAGGGUUGGGGUUCUCUGUUAGAUCUUUUCUUUUUCAGAGGAGCUACAGAGUCCAGGAUGGUUCCACACAUACUGUUAAAAAGAGAGACAAGCUCUUCAGUGUUAAAAACUGGAUUAAAAUCUGGGUUGAGGGCAGUUAAAGAUGCAGAGAUAAAAAGCUCCGAAAACUUGCUAGCAGACGAAUUAGGGGCAUUUUGUCUGUGAAAAAAUAUCCUCUCAAAUUUCAUUAUGGACUUCAAUCGGGAACUUUUUUAAAUAGAUGUUUCAGAAGGAAACAAAACAUUGUUACUCUCAGUGUCCACAAUCAAAUAUUCUUGUCUACUUUUCAUUUCGGUUUCUUUUCCCUCUCAGCACAGUGAUAGAAGAGGAAAUGUGAUGAGGAUGUUUUCAGUCUGAGUCCAUGAAUUAACAUCAAUUUUUUUCUUGAAUGUAUGAAGCAGAUGGACCAUUUAAAGUGUGUUUAUUGCAAAGCACAAAAUAAUUCAGGGUGAUUGGUGCAAAUUUUGCAGGUGCAUAAGUAUAAUAAAAAAAAUUAAAGUUGAGUUUAUGUGAAGAUAGAGUAGCAGAUCUGAGGUUACAGACAUACCAGGUGAAAGUAUGAUGCUACUGCCCUUAUACAAAGUGUCACACUAUCAGUAGGCAAACCUGAAGCAGACAUGGCUACUCAUUAAAACCACAUUUACACCACCCAGGUUCAUAUUCCAAACAACAAAGCAGCUUGCAUGAAAAUUUAUGUAAGUCAUACAACUAUGUGACCUGUGUUUGUCUGUUUAAAGGGAUAUUCCGGUGUAUGUUUAAGUUAGGGUCAAACACACCAUAACAACGAGUUAGACACCCCCUCAAGAGAUGAAUGUUGCCGACUGCUUGCCUCUCUAGUUAUGCCAAUUUCAGCAACGACCGCACGAUAGAAAUACACAACGGUCUACGUCUCCACGCGCAAAUGUCAACCAAACGCCACUCUAUAACCACAAAUAAUGCUCGGAACAGCACCUAACUUCAUCAACAGUUCAUAAAGGGUCCCAGCCUUCAAACAUCUUUUUAGCUUUGCAUAAUUUCUUUAGCAAAGAGACUAAACACAACUCAUCCACUCUCCUCUAGCAGCCGCUUGUUUGUAAGGGGGAGCCCUGACGAGUCUAUCGCCGAGUGCAGCAGAAACUUUAUGAUUAUUACUUUAUAGAAAUGCAAUCAGACCAAGACACUUAGGCAGAGGAACUACUGCGUCUGCAGUGCACCGACAAGAUACACAAGAACUCUGAUUGCAUUUCCACGAAGUAAUAAUCAUAAAUGUUCUUCCUUGAGCUGCGAAACUCCACUGCAGUCAGUGAUGGACUCGUCAGGGUUCCCCCACAAAAAAGCGGCUUGUUUGUGACUUUUUCCAGUAUUCCCCCUUAUUCAGAUAUUUCACCAUAAUAGAAGCUGUAAAGUAUCGACAUACCAUUUACCUGAUCCAAAUGAUGUAGAGAUAGUUGAGUUCAUAUUUAAUUCAAUAAAAUUAAAGCAUUUUCUUAAAACUGUCUAACAUUUUGAUACAUAUUUUAAAUAAACCUACAGGAGUUUACACAACCAUAAUUUAACAACAAACGCUGUGCCUCACGGUAAAACACACCACAUAUUUUUUCAUUUGAAAUAGGAUGAGAAAAAGGACAAUAGCAUGAUUUAGAAGAUAGUUACCAUAAACAUCACUGAUCAGAUUUAUUUAUUUAUUUAAUAGCUCCUUAUACAUAAUUAGAAAACACAGUCAUGUAGACACUUUGUACUGUUAUUAUUGUCACAGCAGUGCUUGUCCUUGGAGGUUGAAUAUUACACUUACAAGCAUUUCUCUCUCUCGCAAAAACUUUUAUCAGCCUCCUGACUGUACUCAAUCAAGCACUAGUGAAAUUAUUUGGUUCUUACAAAACCCACAAUUCUGUUUCUGAUCUUCUUCAGUUUAAAACCAUAGAUAAGUGGGUUCAUUAAAGGGGGAAUGACAAGAAACUCUAUUGCAAAAAAGUUUUGGAUGGUUUGUGAUAUAUUUUUAGAACCAAAUCGGAGAUACAUGAUAUCAAAAAGUAAAGUCAGGAGAAAAGUCAGCAGAGAUGUUAAAUGAGGCACACAUGUCUGCAUGAAUUUUGCUCUGUUUUCUAUAGAAUUCACACAAGUUUUGAUAAGAUAGAUGUAGGACCAAAAUAUAAAAACACCAUGAAGAACAUAAAUUACAAUUGAGAUAUAGGCAACUAUGUUAUUAAGAACAGUUUCAGCUGGAAAACAAGCAAGUGUAACAAAAACCCAGUUUAUACAGAAUAAUCUGGAAACACGGUUACUGCAGAGCUUUAACCUUGAUACCAAGUAAAUGUUAGUUGAUAUUACAGCAAAAGGAGUGAUCACAGAGAAACACACCAACUUCACCAGUCUCUGCUUUGACAUGAGGGAGUGGUACUUCAGUGGUCGACAUAUUGCCACAUACCUGUCAUAGGCCAUUACUGCAAGAAUUGAUAGAUCAGCACAGGCAAAUGAGAUCACCACCAGAGAUUGAAUUAAACAUCCAAAAUAAGAGAUAACAUGAACUGGAGACAGCAGAUCCCAGAGAAGCUUUGGGAAGAAACCAGUUGAUCCGUACAGCCCAUUAAAGCAAAAUGCACACAGUAGAAUAUACAUGGGUUCAUGCAGGUUUUUAUCAAUGAUAAUCGUCACAAUGAGAACUAGAUUAACAAACAAAAUUGAACAGUAACAAAGUAAAGUGAGGAUGAAAAUGACGAGGCGAUAUUUCUUUGUCUCAUUAAGACCUGAGAGAAAAAACACUGAAGUGUUAUCCAUUGGGCUAAUUUCUCUCCCCCCCUGUUAAAGGAGGGGAUAACUCAGCCCCAAAUAGUCCCAGCUAUCUCUUCUCACAUUUAUAAAUGUAUUCUCAGAUUACAUCAACUAAAGGAGGGAAUUCAGAUGGACCAAUCAGUAAAGUUUGCGUGUCUGUCACCUGGAUACAAAAAAAUGACUGUUAAAAUUAGUCGAAUUUUGACCGUCUAUGAAAUGUUGUUUGUGUCACAAAUCAGCAGUGAUGGACAAGGUACUAUACUCCAUUACUUUAGUAAAGUAUAUAUACUCCUGGUCAAAUUUUACUUAAUUACAAGUCAAAGUUAUUCAGUCCAAUUCUUGCUUAAGUUAAAGUGCUUGAGUAUGUGCUUUUGAAAAUACACAAAUAUUUAAAGUACAUUUUCAUUGUUAUGUCAGCGUGUUGUUGUGUUGUUGCCACAAUGAAUUUACAGAACACUAGAAAAGCACUCGGAGAGUGCAGACCUCCGCCAAGCAGCUCAUGUCCCCCCUUAUAUUGUGAUUCACAGCAAAACUUUUAGUGUUACGUGUCUUUUAUUAACGUUUAUUUGUGUUUAAACUGGUAUGUUCACUGUUCAUAAAACAAGAAAAGCCCUGACCCGUAUACGAACCCAGGACCUUCUGGUUGUGAGGUGACAGUGCUAACCACUACACCACUGUGCCGCCCAUUGGUUAUCUUUCAGCAUUGAAAAUUCCAAUGACACCCUUAUUUUUGUGUGUUCUGGAUCACAGUAUCCGGAAUUUUGUCUGGAUAAGGAUCAACCUUUGACACCUCAUAAAACUCAUUGAGAUCCUAUUGUGUCAUUUUUUACUAAAGACUCUGGCCAUUUUUAUAGAGUUAAAUGCAAAAAUUCCAAAAUUUGCCCUAUCUCACAAUGAUGAAGAAUCCUUCAAAAAACUCCUGGAUCCAGAAGGCGAUCCUGAUCACCACUAAAAUUUAAUGAGAUCCUCCUGGGGCUGAGGUGCACCUCUGGUGAAAAUUUCAAGUCACUCUGUCAGUUGCUUUCUCCGUAAAGUUGCUAACAGACAAACAAACCAACGCUACUGAAAACAUAACCUCCUUGGCGGAGGUAACAAUGAUGAUAGUCCCUGAGCAAAAUACAGUAUGGUAAAGAUAUAGCCCAGAUUUAGACUUGGUCCAAACUUGGUCUAAAUUUAGAAGUCUAAAAAACCUUUAAUUUUUAGACCUGUGGUAGCCUGAUUUUAGACCAGUCGUCUAGGCUACAUUUAUACGUCAUUUAGACCUCUUUUAGACCAAAGAAUGAUCAGAGGGAAGCUUGAAAAAUAUGCUACGAUGCCUACUGAAAUGCCUUCUGAAACACGAUUGACUCGACAAAAAGACAACCAUACCAUUUUCAUGUUUUUAUUCAACACCCGACAUGCUUCCUCAGGUAUGACAGUGAGUUUUUGUUGGUGAUGAUGAAUUUUGUGCGUGGCAAACAAAGAAAACAUUUACAUGGAUAUGAAUCAUUCUCCAUUUGAACAAUCUCAAACGUGGACUUCAGAUAUGACUGUUGGUGCUCUGGUGUGGAAUUGUCGUCUGUAUCUGCCGUAGCCAUUAUUAGGACUGCAAAAACCAACUGUAAUCGUUAUCUGAGCAAUGUUAGCUCAAAGGUUACAUGCCCAAUCUGAGUAGCACAUGUGUGAGGUAGAGGUACGGCAUCCCCUCUUGGACAAAUCAGACUCUUCAUAGAAAUGUAGUGUAGGUGAAAGUACAAUAUUUGUUGUUCAAAUGGAGUGAAGUAAAAGUCACAAGUUUCAAAAAAUAUACUAGGGCCCCGGUGGGGCACUGUCGGGCCCGAGCCGCGUCGCGCCGCCCCCAGCGCGACCGCCUCCCCCUCCCGAUCGCGUCACACUCAAGGUCCAAAGAUGGUGUGCGCACUUGUCUGUGGUCAUUUCCCAUUAUAAUGAAUGGGAGGCGCAGUUUCUACCAAAACGCUCGCUGCAGACAAACUACAUGUCCUAUUUGAAAAAAGUCUGGACCAUGAGUGAGGGCACAAACACAGCUAGUAUAUAUCCAAAUGGCAAGUUGCUCCUCCUUUCGGUUUUGCAGAGAGAGCGAUGCGUUUGAGCCAUUGAGCGAUGGGCAGGAAAAACUUGACUGUUUCUCCUGCCAUGGGGGGGCGCUCUUUUGGGGAGAAAAAAUUCCUUCACAAAUGUGUUGAUGGCUGGACAUUGCAUCAUCCUAGAAAACUUGGAGGCCAGUGAGGACAAAAAUAAAAAGUUAUAAGACUUUUAAAAAUGUGGAUAUUUGGGUCCUCUUUGGCGCCCCCUAGAACAUAAACUGUGGGGUGCAGCGUCAUGAUUUGUACAACUUUGAAUGGCCAUGGGGUGUAGAUUGACCUGAGCAAAUUUGAAGCCGAUGGGACAAAAGAUUUAGGAGGAGUUAGCGAAAUUCCAAUGUGUGCGGAUCGGCAAAAAAUGCAAAAUAACCCUUUAACCGUACAUUUGACAGAUACGCCCGCACUGACUUUUUUGUAGAUCUUAUUGAGAUACAUGUGUGUGUCAAAUUUUGUGUCAUUUUGACAAAGCGUAAAGGCGUGACAGUCAACAAUGUGUAUUUUCGCCUUAGGAGACAAGAAAAAAUGGACUUUUUUCUCCUGCCAUGGGGUUGGCGCUCUUUUGGCGAGUAAAAAUUCCUUCACAAAUGUGUUGAUGGCUGGACAUUGCAUCAUCCUAGAGAACUUGGAGGCCAGUGAGGACAAAAAUAAAAAGUUAUAAGACUUUUAAGACUGUGGAUUUUUGGGUUAUCUUUGGCGCCCCCUAGAACGUAAACCGUGGGGUGCAGCGUCAUGAUUUGUACAACUUUUAAUGGCCAUGGGGUGUAGAUUGGCCUCAGCAAAUGUGGUGCCUUUGGAACGAAAGCCUUCGGAGGAGUUAGCGAAAUUCCAAUGUGUGCGGAUCGGCAAAAAAUGCGAAAUAGCCCUUUCACCGUACAUUUGACAGAUACGCCCGCACUGACUUUUUUGUAGAUCUUAUUGAGAUACAUGUGUGUGUCAAUUUUUGUGUCAAUAUGACAAAGCGUAAAGGCGUGACAGUCAAUAGUGUGAAUUUUCGCCUUAGGAGACAAGAAAAAAUGGACUUUUUUCUCCUGCCAUGGGGGGGCGCUCUUUUGGGGAGUAAAAAUUCCUUCACAAAUGUGUUGAUGGCUGGACAUUGCAUCAUCCUAGAAAACUUGGAGGCCAGUGAGGACAAAAAUAAAAAGUUAUAAGACUUUUAAGAAUGUGGAUUUCUGGGUUAUCUUUGGCGCCCCCUAGAACGUAAACCGUGGGAUGCAGCGUCAUGAUUUGUACAACUUUUAAUGGCCAUGGGGUGUAGAUUGGCCUGAGCAAAUUUGGUGCCGGUGGAACGAAAGCCUUCGGAGGAGUUAGCGAAAUUCCAAUGUGUGCGGAUCGGCAAAAAAUGCGAAAUAGCCCUUUAACCGUACAUUUGACAGAUACGCCCGCACUGACUUUUUUGUAGAUCUUAUUGAGAUACACGUGUGUGUAAAAUUUUGUGUCAUUUUGACAAAGCGUACAGGCGUGACACUCAAUCAUGUGAAUUUUUCACCUUAGGGGGCGCUAUGGAGCCAUUUUGCAUUUGAUUUUUUGGGCGACUUCAGAAUAUCGAAUUUUUCACCAGGCCCGGUCGUCCUGCCAAAUUUCAUGACUUUUCACCAGUGGGAAGUGGGCCAUUUUCCAGUUCAAAGGGGCAGAAAAAUAAUAACUAGGGCCCCGUUGGGGCACUGGCGGGCCCGAGCCGUGUCGCGCUGCCCCCCCCAAUGCGCUGCCUCCCCGUCCCAUUCGCGUCCUCUCUGGUAACGCCCAUCACUGCAAAGACCCUUUCCUUCAUCGGCGUUUGCUGUUGUUCCUGCCAGUGCGUGUUGCUUUCACUUACACUUGCCACAGCCAGCCUCGUGAGUGCCUAGCCUAUUGGAUAUCACUGUCAUCUACACAGGACAGUCAUAACCUUUCUAUUAAUACUUUGUUUUUUAAUUUCACAUUAAUUUCCAUAUUGUAUAAAUGACUGGAAAAAACUUGAGCCCCUGCCCCUGUAUAAUCAUGUGCACGUCCCUGUUCUAGCUCCAAGGUGAAUCUUCACUGCUCAUGUUCUCCUCAGAAAUAGUCACCUCACUCCCCUCAGGUUACUGUACACAUGCACCAACUAUCUGCUUCAGGUUUGGAUGGAGCUUCAUGGUUGUCUUUUGGAGAAAUGACCAGUCAAGUUGUGUUUGAAAUUUGAUUUUUUUCAGGGGCAAAAGGAAGCCUCUGCAUUCUUGUCAAAUAUGUAAACAGCAUGUUUUUGCAGGUGCUAAAAAACAGACUCUGAGUGUGUGUGUGUGUGUGUGUGUGUGUGUGUGUGUGUGUGUGUGUGUGUGUGUGUGUGUGUGUGUGUGUGUGUGUGUGUUGGCGUGUGUGUAUAUGUGUGUGUAUCCUGCAGUACUCUGUACUCCUGCAGUGGCCAAAAAGACUUUUAAGAAUGUGGAUUUUUGGGUCAUCUUUGGCGCCCCCUAGAACUGCAGUACUCUGUACUCCUGCAGUGGCCAAAAUGACUUUUAAGAAUGUGGAUUUUUGGGUCAUAUUUGGCGCCCCCUAGAACGUAAACCGUGGGGUGCAGCGUCAUGAUUUUUACAACUUUGAAUGGCCAUGGGGUGUAGAUUGCCCUGAGCAAAUUUGGUAUCAGUGGGACGAAAGCCUUAGGAGGAGAUAGCCACAUUCCAAUAUGUGCGAAUCGGCAAAAAAUGCGAAAUAGCCCUUUAACCGUACAUUAUACAGAUACGCGCUCUUUGACUUUUUCGUAGAUCUAAUUGAGAUACACAUGAUUGUCAAUUUUUGUGUCAAUAUGACAAAGCGUUCAGGCGUGACACUCAACAAUGUGUAUUUUCAUGUAAGGGGACAAGAAAAAAUUGACUUUUUUCUCCUGCCAUGGGGGGGCGCUCUUUUGGGGAGUAAAAAUUCCUUCACAAAUGUGUUGAUGGCUGGACAUUGCAUCAUCCUAGAAAACUUGGAGGCCAGUGAGGACAAAAAUAAAAAGUUAUAAGACUUUUAAGAAUGUGGAUUUUUGGGUUAUCUUUGGCGCCCCCUAGAACCUAAACCGUGGGGUGCAGCGUCAUGAUUUGUACAACUUUUAAUGGCCAUGGGGUGUAGACUGGCCUGAGCAAAUGUGGUGCCAGUGGAACGAAAGCCUUCGGAGGAGUUAGCGAAAUUCCAAUGUGUGCGGAUCGGCAAAAAAUGCGAAAUAACCCUUUAACCGUACAUUUGACAGAUACGCCCGCACUGACUUUUUUGUAGAUCUUAUUGAGAUACAUAUGUGUGUCAAUUUUUGUGUCAAUAUGACAAAACGUACAGACGUGACAGUCAAUAGUGUGAAUUUCCACCUUAGGGGGCGCUAUGGAGCCAUUUUGCAUUUUAUUGUUUGGGCGACUUCAGAAUAUCGAAUUUUUCACCAGGCCCGGUCGUCCUGCCAAAUUUCAUGAGUUUUCGCCAGUGGGAAGUGGGCCAUUUUCCAGUUUAAAGCGGAGGAAAAAUAAUAAUAAUAACUAGGGCCCCGUUGGGGCACUGGCGGGCCCGAGCUGUGUCGCCCCCCCCCCCCCCCCCCCGCGCUGCCUCCCCGUCCCAUUCGCGUCCUCUGGCCAUCGUCCUCUCUGGUAACACCCAUCACUGCAAAGACCCUUUUCCUUCAUCGGCGUUUGCUGUUCUUCCUGCCAGUGCGUGUUGCUUUCACUUACACUUGCCACAGCCAGCCUCGUGAGUGCCUAGCCUAUUGGAUAUCACUGUCACCUACACAGGACAGUCAUUACCUUUCUAUUAAUACUUUGUUUUUUAAUUUCACAUUAAUUUCCAUAUUGUAUAAACGACUGGAAAAAACUUGAGCCCCUGCCCCCGUAUAAUCAUGUGCACGUCCCUGUUCUCGCUCCAAGGUGAAUCUUCACUGCUCAUGUUCUCCUCAGAAGCAGUCACCUCACUCCCCUCAGGUUACUGUACACAUGCACCAACUGCCUGCUUCAGGUUUGGAUGGAGCUUCAUGGUUGUCUUUUGGAGAAAUGAGCAGUCAAGUUGUGUUAGAAAUUUGAUUUUUUUCAGGGGCAAAAGGAAGCCUCUGCAUUGUUGUCAAAUAUGUAAAUAGCAUGUUUUUGCAGGUGCUAAAAAACAGACUCUGAGUGUGUGUGUGUGUGUCUGUGUGUGUGUGUGUGUGUGUGUGUGUCUGUGUGUGUGUGUGUCUGUGUGUGUGUAUCCUGCAGUACUCUGUACUCCUGCAGUGGCCAAAACGACUUUUAAGAAUGUGGAUAUUUGGGUCAUCUUUGGCGCCCCCUAGAACGUAAACCAUGGGGUGCAGCGGCAUGAUUUUUACAACUUUGAAUGGCCAUGGGGUGUAGAUUGGCCUGAGCAAAUUUGGUGUCAGUGGGACGAAAGCCUUAGGAGGAGUUAGCCACAUUCCAAUGUGUGCGAAUCGGCAAAAAAUGCAAAAUAGCCCUUUAGCCGUACAUUUUACAGAUACGCGCCCAUUGACUUUUUCGUAGAUCUUAUUGAGAUACACGUGUGUGUCAAAUUUUUUGUCAAUACGACAAAGCGUACAGGCGUGACACUCAACAAUGUGUAUUUUUACCUUAGGGGACAAGAAAAAAUGGACUUUUUAUUCCUGCCAUGGGGGGGCGCUCUUUUGGGGAGUAAAAAUUCCUUCACAAAUGUGUUGAUGGCUGGACAUUGCAUCAUCCUAGAAAACUUGGAGGCCAGUGAGGACAAAAAAAAAAAUUUAUAAAACUUUUAAGAAUGUGGAUUUUUGGGUUAUUUUUGGCGCCCCCUAGAACCUAAACCAUGGGGUGCAGCAUUAUGAUUUGUACAACUUUGAAUGGCCAUGGAGUGUAGAUUGGCCUGAGCAAAUGUGGUGCCGGUGGAACGAAAGCCUUCGGAGGAGUUAGCGAAAUUCCAAUGUGUGCGGAUCUGCAAAAAAUGCAAAAUAACCCUUUAACCGUACAUUUGACAGAUACGCCCGCACUGACUUUUUUGUAGAUCUUAUUGAGAUACAUGUGUGUGUCAAUUUUUGUGUCAAUAUGACAAAGCGUACAGGCGUGACAGUCAAUAGUGUGAAUUUUCACCUUAGGGGGCGCUAUGGAGCCAUUUUGCAUUUUCUUGUUUGGGCGACUUCAGAAUAUCGAAUUUUUCACCAGGCCCGGUCGUCCUGCCAAAUUUCAUGAGUUUUCGCCAGUGGGAAGUGGGCCAUUUUCCAGUUUAAAGCGGAGGAAAAAUAAUAAUAAUAACAAACUAGGGCCCCGUUGGGGCACUGGCGGGCCCGAGCCGUGUCGCGCCACCCCCAACACGACCGCCUCUCCCUACCGAUCGCGUCACACUCAAGGUCCAAAGAUGGUGUGCCCACUUGUCUGUGGUCAUUUACAAUUAUAAUGAAUGGGAGGCGCAGUUUCUACCAAAACGCUCGCCGCAGACAAACUACAUGUCCUAUUUGAAAAGGACUGGACCAUGAGUGAGGGCACAAACACAGCUGGGAUAUAUCCAAAUGGCAAGUUGCUCCUCCUUUCGGUUUUGCCGAGAGAGUGAUGUGUUUGAGUCAUUGAGCGAUGGGCAGGAAAAACUUGACUUUUUCUCCUGCCAUGGGGGGCGCUCUUUUAGGGAGUAAAAAUUCCUUCACAAAUGUGUUGAUGGCUAGACAUUGCAUCAUCCUAGAAAACUUGGAGGCCAGUGAGGACAAAAAUAAAAAGUUAUAAGACAUUUAAGAAUGUGGAUUUUUGGGUUAUCUUUGGCGCCCCCUAGAACAUAAACCGUGGGGUGCAGCGUCAUGAUUUUUACAACUUUGAAUGGCCAUGGGGUGUAGAUUGGCCUGAGUAAAUUUGGUGUCAGUGGAACGAAAGCUUUAGGAGGAGUUAGCCACAUUCCAAUGUGUGCGAAUCGACCAAAAAUGCGAAAUAGCCCUUUAACCGUACAUUUUACAGAUACGCGCCCAUUGACUAUUUCGUAGAUCUUAUUGAGAAACACGUGAUUGUUAAAGUUUGUUUCAAUAUGACAAAGCAUACAGGCGUGACACUCAAUAAUGUGAAUUUUCACCUUAGGGGGGAAGAAAAACUGGACUUUUUUCUCCUGCCAUGGGGGGGCGCUCUUUUGGGGAGUAAAAAUUCCUUCACAAAUGUGUUGAUGGCUAGACAUUGCAUCAUCCUAGAAAACUUGGAGGCCAGUGAGGACAAAAAUAAAAAGUUAUACGACUUUUAAGAAUGUGGAUUUUUGGGUUAUCUUUGGCGCCCCCUAAAACGUAAACCGUGGGGUGCAGCGUCAUGAUUUUUACAACUUUUAAUGGCCAUGGGGUGUAGAUUGGCCUGAGCAAAUUUGGUGCCGGUGGAACGAAAGCCUUCGGAGGAGUUAGCGAAAUUCCAAUGUGUGCGGAUCGGCAAAAAAUGCGAAAUAGCCCUUUAACCGUACAUUUGACAGAUACGCCCACACUGACUUUUUUGUAGAUCUUAUUGAGAUACACCUGUGUGUCAAAUUUUGUGUCAUUUUGACAAAGCGUACAGGCGUGACACUCAAUCAUGUGAAUUUUUCACCUUAGGGGGCGCUAUGGAGCCAUUUUGCAUUUGAUUUUUUGGGCGACUUCAGAAUAUCGAAUUUUUCACCAGGCCCGGUCGUCCUGCCAAAUUUCAUGACUUUUCACCAGUGGGAAGUGGGCCAUUUUCCAGUUCAAAGGGGCAGAAAAAUAAUAAGAAGAAGACUAGGGCCCCGUUGGGGCACUGGCGGGCCCGAGCAGUGUCGCGCCGCCCCCAACACGACCGCCUCUCCCUACCGAUCGCGUCACACUCAAGGUCCAAAGAUGGUGUGCGCACUUGUCUGUGGUCAUUUACAAUUAUAAUGAAUGGGAGGCGCAGUUUCUACCAAAACGCUCGCCGCAGACAAACUACAUGUCCUAUUUGAAAAGGACUGGACCAUGAGUGAGGGCACAACCAUGCCAUGGGGGUUGGGGGAUGGGGGGGGGGGGGGGGAAUGUGGAUUCUUUUAAGAAUGUGGAUAUUUGGGUCAUCUUUGGCGCCCCCUAGAACGUAAACCGUGGGGUGCAGCGUCAUGAUUUUGAUAACUUUGAAUGGCCACGGGGUGUAGAUUGGCCUGAGCAAAUGUGGUGCCGGUGGAACGAAAGCCUUCGGAGGAGUUAGCGAAAUUCCAAUGUGUGCAAAUCGGCAAAAAAUGCAAAAUAGCCCUUUAACCGUACAUUUUACAGAUACGCGCGCAUUGACUUUUUCGUAGAUCUUAUUGAGAUACAUGUGAUUGUCAAAUUUUGUGUCAAUAUGACAAAGCGUACAGGUAUGACAGUCAACAAUGUGUUUUUUCACCUUAUGGGACAAGAAAAAAUGGACUUUUUUCUCCUGCCAUGGGGGGGCGCUCUUUUGGGGAGUAAAAAUUCCUUCACAAAUGUGUUGAUGGCUGGACAUUGCAUCAUCCUAGAAAACUUGGAGGCCAGUGAGGACAAAAAUAAAAAGUUAUAAGACUUUUAAAUAUGUGGAUUUUAGGGUUGUCUUUGGCGCCCCCUAGAACCUAAACCGUGGGGUGCAGCGUCAUGAUUUGAAUAACUUUUAAUGGCCAUGGGGUGUAGAUUGGCCUGAGCAAAUGUGGUGCCGGUGGAACGAAAGCCUUCGGAGGAGUUAGCGAAAUUCCAAUGUGUGCGGAUCGGCAAAAAAUGCGGAAUAACCCUUUAACCGUACAUUUGACAGAUACGCCCGCACUGACUUUUUUGUAGAUCUUAUUGAGAUACAUGUGUGUGUCAAUUUUUGUGUCAAUAUGACAAAGCGUAAAGGCGUGACAGUCAAUAGUGUGAAUUUUCACCUUAGGGGGCGCUAUGGAGCCAUUUUGCAUUUUCUUGUUUGGGCGACUUCGGAAUAUCAAAUUUUUCACCAGGCCCGGUCAUCCUGCCAAAUUUCAUGAGUUUUCGCCAGUGGGAAGUGGGCCAUUUUCCAGUUCAAAGGGGAGGAAAAAGAAGAAAGAAAGAAACAAAGAAAAACCACUUGGGGAAUAAUAGGGCUCUCGCAGCUGCUUAGCAGCUACGCUCGGGCCCUAAAGAAGAAUCCAUCAGGAACAAGAGGGCUCUCGCAGCUGCUUAGCAGCUACGCUCGGGCCCUAACUAGGACCCCGUUGGGGCACUGGCGGGCCCGAGCCAGUUUUUAAAUUGUGUUGAUAGGCCAAAUAAAACCAGAGUUAUGAUAAAUUAUGUCCGCGAUACUUUUUUUCUGCUUAUUUUGAUCACGUUCGGCGCUCGAUCGCGCUGUAUGAGACAGGAAAACAUAGCAUGCAGACAUUAGUGACAGGUCUUACAGGCGGAAAAGGCUUGCCAAAAGAAAAAAAAAAACACACCACAACAUCUCUCCUAUUGGUGGAAAACUUCACCACAACAACCAAUCCAAAAUUAUAUGGUGACUGAUUGACAAGGGGCGGGCGCUUACGUUCUUCCUGCAACAUGAGAAGGGAGGGAGGGACUCUCAGCAGGGAUGCAGUCUGGGACACGUAGUUGCAAACCUAGCGACUUUGUUGUUAGAUUCAAUGACUUUUCAGACCCCCUAACGACUUUUUUUUAGAAAGAAAGGGACUUUUAUCGACUUCUGGAGUUUAGAGACUCUGACAUGAAGCAGGCUUUCCUUACUGAGGAGUUAGCAACGCUGCUAAGGGUGCAGAGCCACACAUGCACUCAGAGCUCUGCAUGGGAGACUGAAGCUGACAGAGCUGCAGCAGUUAGCAGGUUUCACCCUCAGAGACCACCAGGGGUUCAUGUUGAGGCAUUUUAAAAUUUUUUUUUUUUGUGCCAUAGACACUGUCAGCACAAUCUGCAGUUACACUAACAAAAAUGCUGCAAAAAACAAAGAAUUAUGGAAAAAUUACACAUGGACUGACAUAGAGGAGGAUCUACACAAGUUUUUUACAUCAUGUUUUACAUCAUGCAUCAUUUACAUCAUGUUUUUUUGUAGUGGCAUAAAUAAAAAGUGACAUUUGUGAGACUAUACAGUGUUUUGUAAAUAAUUUUACAAAGAACGCCUGGGCCAUUGCCUGCAUUUUGAUGUAAAUAGAGGUAAAUUACUAUGUUCUUUGUUAAAAAUUUGCAUAUGUUUUGAAGUUUACAAUUUUUAUUUGAAGUUUAAGUUUUAAAAACAGUUCAUCACACAUAUUUGUGGUUUAAUUUCACAUUAAUUUCCAUAUUGUAUAAAUGACUGGAAAAAACUUGAGCCCCUGCCCCUGUAUAAUCAUGUGCACGUCCCUGUUCUAGCUCCAAGGUGAAUCUUCACUGCUCAUGUUCUCCUCAGAAAUAGUCACCUCACUCCCCUCAGGUUACUGUACACAUGCACCAACUAUUUGCUUCAGGUUUGAAAUGGAGCUUCAUGGUUGUCUUUUGGAGAAAUGAACAGUCAAGUUGUGUUUGAAAUUUGAUUUUUUUCAGGGGCAAAAGGAAGCCUCUGCAUUCUUGUCAAAUAUGUAAACAGCAUGUUUUUGAAGGUGAUAAAAAACAGACUCUGAGUGUGUGUGUGUGUGUCUGUGUGUGUGUGUGUGUAUGUUGGCGUGUGUGUAUAUGUGUGUGUAUCCUGCAGUACUCUGUACUCCUGCAGUGGCCAAAAAGACUUUUAAGAAUGUGGAUUUUUGGGUCAUCUUUGGCGCCCCCUAGAACUGCAGUACUCUGUACUCCUGCAGUGGCCAAAAAGACUUUUAAGAAUGUGGAUUUUUGGGUCAUCUUUGGCGCCCCCUAGAACGUAAACCGUGGGGUGCAGCGUCAUGAUUUUUACAAUUUUGAAUGGGCAUGGGGUGUAGAUUGCCCUGAGCAAAUUUGGUAUCGGUGGGACGAAAGCCUUAGGAGGAGAUAGCCACAUUCCAAUGUGUGCGAAUCGGCAAAAAAUGCAAAAUAGCCCUUUAACCGUACAUUAUACAGAUACGCGCUCUUUGACUUUUUCGUAGAUCUUAUUGAGAUACACGUGUGUGUCAAAUUUUGUGUCAUUUUGACAAAGCGUAUAGGCGUGACAGUCAACAAUGUGUUUUUUCACCUUAGGGGACAAGAAAAAAUUGACUUUUUUCUCCUGCCAUGGGGGGCGCUCUUUUCGGGAGUAAAAAUUCCUUUACAAAUGUGUUGAUGGCUGGACAUUGCAUCAUCCUAGAAAACUUAGAGGCCAGUGAGGACAAAACUAAAAAGUUAUAAGACUAUUAAGAAUGUGGAUUUUUGGGUUAUCUUUGGCGCCCCCUAGAACCUAAACCGUGGAGGGCAGCAUCAUGAUUUGUACAACUUUUAAUGGCCAUGGGGUGUAGAUUAGCCUGAGCAAAUUUGGUGCCGGUAGAAAGAUAGCCUUCGGAGGAGUUAGCGAAAUUCCAAUGUGUGCGAAUCGGCAAAAAAUGCAAAAUAGCCCUUUAACCGUACAUUUGACAGAUAUGUGCCCUUUGACUUUUUCGUAGAUCUUAUUGAGAUACACGUUAUUGUCAAAUUUUGUGUCAAUAUGACAAAGGGUACAGGGGUGACACUCAAAAAUGUGUAUUUUCACCUUACGGGACAAGAAAAAAUGGACUUUUUUCUCCUGCCAUGGGGGGGCGCUCUUUUGGGGAGUAAAAAUUUGUUCACAGAUGUGUUGAUGGCUGGACAUUGCAUCAUCCUAGAAAACUUGGAGGCCAGUUUGGAGAAAAAUAAAAAGUUAUAAGACUUUUAACACUUUGGAUUUUUGGGUUAUCUUUGGCGCCCCCUAGAACCUAAACCGUGGGGUGCAGCAAGAUGAUUUGUACAACUUUUAAUGGCCAUGGGGGGUAGAUUGGCCUGCGCAAAUGUGGUGCCGGUGGAACGAAAGCCUUCGGAGGAGUUAGCGAAAUUCCAAUGUGUGCAGAUCUGCAAAAAAUGCGAAAUAACCCUUUAACCGUACAUUUGACAGAUACGCCCGCACUGACUUUUUUGUAGAUCUUAUUGAGAUACAUGUGUGUGUCAAUUUUUGUGUCAUUUUGACAAAGCGUACAGCCCGCAUGUGAAUUUUCACCUUAGGGGGCGCUAUGGAGCCAUUUUGCAUUUUAUUGUUUGGGCGACUUCAGAAUAUCGAAUUUUUCACCAGGCCCGGUCGUCCUGCCAAAUUUCAUGAGUUUUCGCCAGUGGGAAGUGGGCCAUUUUCCAGUUUAAAGCGGAGGAAAAAUAACGAAAGAAGAAUCCAUCAGGAACAAGAGGGCUCUCGCAGCUGCUUAGCAGCUACGCUCGGGCCCUAAUAAGAAGACUAGGGCCCCGUUGGGGCACUGGCGGGCCCGAGCCGUGUUGUGCCGCCCCCAUCGCGACCGCCCCCCCUUCCGAUCGCCUCACACUCAAGGUCCAAAGAUGGUGUGCGCACUUGUCUGUGGUCAUUUACCAUUAUAAUGAAUGGGAGGCGCAGUUUCUACCAAAAUGCUCGCUGCAGAAAAACUCCAUGUCCUUUUUGAAAAAAGUCUGGACCAUGAGUGAGGGCACAAACACAGCUAGGAUAUAUCCAAAUGGCAAGUUGCUCCUCCUUUCGGUUUUGCCGAGAGAGCGAUGCGUUUGAGCCAUUGAGCGAUGGGCAGGAAAACCUUGACUUUUUCUCCUGCCAUGGGGGGGCGCUCUUUUGGGGAGUAAAAAUUCCUUCACAAUUGUGUUAAUGGCUGAACAUUGCAUUAUCCUAGAAAACUUGGAGGCCAGUGAGGACAAAAAUAAAAAGUUAUAAGACUUUUGAAAAUGUGGAUUUUUGGGUUAUCUUUGGCGCCCCCUAGAACGUAAACCGUUGGGUGCAGCAUCAUGAUUUUUACAACUUUGAAUGGCCAUGGGGUGUAGAUUGGCCUGAGCACAUUUGGUGUUGAUGGGACGAAAGCUUUAGGAGGAGUUAGCCACAUUCCAAUGUGUGCGAAUUGGCAAAAAAUGCGAAAUAGCCCUUUAACCGUACAUUUGACAGAUACGCCCGCAUUGACUUUUUCGUAGAUCUUAUUGAGAUACACGUGAUUGUCAAAUUUUGUGUCAAUAUGACAAAGCGUACAGGUGUGACACUCAACAAUGUGUAUUUUCACCUUAGGGGACAAGAAAAAAUGGCCUUUUUUCUCCUGCCAUGGGGGGGCGCUCUUUUGGGGAGUAAAAAUUCCUCCACAAAUGUGUUGAUGGCUGGACAUUGCAUCAUCCUAGAGAACUUCAAGGCCAGUGGGGACAAAAAUAAAAAGUUAUAAGACUUUUAAGAAUGUGGAUUUUUGGGUCAUCUUUGGCGCCCCCUAGAACCUAAACCGCGGGGUGCAGCGUCAUGAUUUGUACAACUUUUAAUGGCCAUGGGGUGUAGAUUGACCUGAGCAAAUGUGGUGCCAGUGGAACAAAAGCCUUCGGAGGAGUUAGCGAAAUUCCAAUGUGUGCGGAUCGGCAAAAAAUGCGAAAUAAACCUUUAACCGUACAUUUGACAGAUACGCCCGCGCUGAUUUUUUCGUAGAUCUUAUUGAGAUACAUAUGUGUGUCAAAUUUUGUGUCAUUUUGACAAAGCGUACAGGCGUGACAGUCAAUGGUGUGAAUUUUCACCUUUGGGGGCGCUAUGGAGCCAUUUUGCAUUUUAUUGUUUAGGCGACUUCAGAAUAUCGAAUUUUUCACCAGGCCCGGUCGUCCUGCCAAAUUUCAUGAGUUUUCGCCAGUGGGAAGUGAGUUUUUUCCAGUUCAAAGGGGAGGAAAAAUAAGAAGAAAGAAAGAAAGAAAGAAAGAAGAAAGAAAAACCGAUACAGGAACAAUAGGGCUCUCGCAGCUGCUUAGCAGCUACGCUCGGGCCCUAACUAGGACCCCGUUGGGGCACUGGCGGGCCCGAGCUGUGUCGCGUCCCCCCCCCCAACGCGCUGCCUCCCCGUCCCAUUUGUUUCCUCUGGCCAUCGCCCUCUCUGGUAACGCCCAUCACUGCAAAGACCCUUUUCCUUCAUCGGCGUUUGCUGUUCUUCCUGCCAGUGCGUGUUGCUUUCACUUACACUUGCCACAGCCAGCCUCGUGAGUGCCUAGCCUAUUGGAUAUCACUGUCAUCUACACAGGACAGUCAUAACCUUUCUAUUAAUACUUUGUUUUUUAAUUUCACAUUAAUUUCCAUAUUGUAUAAAUGACUGGAAAAAACUUGAGCCCCUGCCCCUGUAUAAUCAUGUGCACGUCCCUGUUCUAGCUCCAAGGUGAAUCUUCACUGCUCAUGUUCUCCUCAGAAAUAGUCACCUCACUCCCCUCAGGUUACUGUACACAUGCACCAACUAUUUGCUUCAGGUUUGAAAUGGAGCUUCAUGGUUGUCUUUUGGAGAAAUGAACAGUCAAGUUGUGUUUGAAAUUUGAUUUUUUUCAGGGGCAAAAGGAAGCCUCUGCAUUCUUGUCAAAUAUGUAAACAGCAUGUUUUUGAAGGUGAUAAAAAACAGACUCUGAGUGUGUGUGUGUGUGUCUGUGUGUGUGUGUGUGUAUGUUGGCGUGUGUGUAUAUGUGUGUGUAUCCUGCAGUACUCUGUACUCCUGCAGUGGCCAAAAAGACUUUUAAGAAUGUGGAUUUUUGGGUCAUCUUUGGCGCCCCCUAGAACUGCAGUACUCUGUACUCCUGCAGUGGCCAAAAAGACUUUUAAGAAUGUGGAUUUUUGGGUCAUCUUUGGCGCCCCCUAGAACGUAAACCGUGGGGUGCAGCGUCAUGAUUUUUACAAUUUUGAAUGGGCAUGGGGUGUAGAUUGCCCUGAGCAAAUUUGGUAUCGGUGGGACGAAAGCCUUAGGAGGAGAUAGCCACAUUCCAAUGUGUGCGAAUCGGCAAAAAAUGCAAAAUAGCCCUUUAACCGUACAUUAUACAGAUACGCGCUCUUUGACUUUUUCGUAGAUCUUAUUGAGAUACACGUGUGUGUCAAAUUUUGUGUCAUUUUGACAAAGCGUAUAGGCGUGACAGUCAACAAUGUGUUUUUUCACCUUAGGGGACAAGAAAAAAUUGACUUUUUUCUCCUGCCAUGGGGGGGCGCUCUUUUCGGGAGUAAAAAUUCCUUUACAAAUGUGUUGAUGGCUGGACAUUGCAUCAUCCUAGAAAACUUAGAGGCCAGUGAGGACAAAACUAAAAAGUUAUAAGACUAUUAAGAAUGUGGAUUUUUGGGUUAUCUUUGGCGCCCCCUAGAACCUAAACCGUGGAGGGCAGCAUCAUGAUUUGUACAACUUUUAAUGGCCAUGGGGUGUAGAUUAGCCUGAGCAAAUUUGGUGCCGGUAGAAAGAUAGCCUUCGGAGGAGUUAGCGAAAUUCCAAUGUGUGCGAAUCGGCAAAAAAUGCAAAAUAGCCCUUUAACCGUACAUUUGACAGAUAUGUGCCCUUUGACUUUUUCGUAGAUCUUAUUGAGAUACACGUUAUUGUCAAAUUUUGUGUCAAUAUGACAAAGGGUACAGGGGUGACACUCAAAAAUGUGUAUUUUCACCUUACGGGACAAGAAAAAAUGGACUUUUUUCUCCUGCCAUGGGGGGCGCUCUUUUGGGGAGUAAAAAUUUGUUCACAGAUGUGUUGAUGGCUGGACAUUGCAUCAUCCUAGAAAACUUGGAGGCCAGUUUGGAGAAAAAUAAAAAGUUAUAAGACUUUUAACACUUUGGAUUUUUGGGUUAUCUUUGGCGCCCCCUAGAACCUAAACCGUGGGGUGCAGCAAGAUGAUUUGUACAACUUUUAAUGGCCAUGGGGGGUAGAUUGGCCUGCGCAAAUGUGGUGCCGGUGGAACGAAAGCCUUCGGAGGAGUUAGCGAAAUUCCAAUGUGUGCAGAUCUGCAAAAAAUGCGAAAUAACCCUUUAACCGUACAUUUGACAGAUACGCCCGCACUGACUUUUUUGUAGAUCUUAUUGAGAUACAUGUGUGUGUCAAUUUUUGUGUCAUUUUGACAAAGCGUACAGCCCGCAUGUGAAUUUUCACCUUAGGGGGCGCUAUGGAGCCAUUUUGCAUUUUAUUGUUUGGGCGACUUCAGAAUAUCGAAUUUUUCACCAGGCCCGGUCGUCCUGCCAAAUUUCAUGAGUUUUCGCCAGUGGGAAGUGGGCCAUUUUCCAGUUUAAAGCGGAGGAAAAAUAACGAAAGAAGAAUCCAUCAGGAACAAGAGGGCUCUCGCAGCUGCUUAGCAGCUACGCUCGGGCCCUAAUAAGAAGACUAGGGCCCCGUUGGGGCACUGGCGGGCCCGAGCCGUGUUGUGCCGCCCCCAUCGCGACCGCCCCCCUUCCGAUCGCCUCACACUCAAGGUCCAAAGAUGGUGUGCGCACUUGUCUGUGGUCAUUUACCAUUAUAAUGAAUGGGAGGCGCAGUUUCUACCAAAAUGCUCGCUGCAGAAAAACUCCAUGUCCUUUUUGAAAAAAGUCUGGACCAUGAGUGAGGGCACAAACACAGCUAGGAUAUAUCCAAAUGGCAAGUUGCUCCUCCUUUCGGUUUUGCCGAGAGAGCGAUGCGUUUGAGCCAUUGAGCGAUGGGCAGGAAAACCUUGACUUUUUCUCCUGCCAUGGGGGGCGCUCUUUUGGGGAGUAAAAAUUCCUUCACAAUUGUGUUAAUGGCUGAACAUUGCAUUAUCCUAGAAAACUUGGAGGCCAGUGAGGACAAAAAUAAAAAGUUAUAAGACUUUUGAAAAUGUGGAUUUUUGGGUUAUCUUUGGCGCCCCCUAGAACGUAAACCGUUGGGUGCAGCAUCAUGAUUUUUACAACUUUGAAUGGCCAUGGGGUGUAGAUUGGCCUGAGCACAUUUGGUGUUGAUGGGACGAAAGCUUUAGGAGGAGUUAGCCACAUUCCAAUGUGUGCGAAUUGGCAAAAAAUGCGAAAUAGCCCUUUAACCGUACAUUUGACAGAUACGCCCGCAUUGACUUUUUCGUAGAUCUUAUUGAGAUACACGUGAUUGUCAAAUUUUGUGUCAAUAUGACAAAGCGUACAGGUGUGACACUCAACAAUGUGUAUUUUCACCUUAGGGGACAAGAAAAAAUGGCCUUUUUUCUCCUGCCAUGGGGGGGCGCUCUUUUGGGGAGUAAAAAUUCCUCCACAAAUGUGUUGAUGGCUGGACAUUGCAUCAUCCUAGAGAACUUCAAGGCCAGUGGGGACAAAAAUAAAAAGUUAUAAGACUUUUAAGAAUGUGGAUUUUUGGGUCAUCUUUGGCGCCCCCUAGAACCUAAACCGCGGGGUGCAGCGUCAUGAUUUGUACAACUUUUAAUGGCCAUGGGGUGUAGAUUGACCUGAGCAAAUGUGGUGCCAGUGGAACAAAAGCCUUCGGAGGAGUUAGCGAAAUUCCAAUGUGUGCGGAUCGGCAAAAAAUGCGAAAUAAACCUUUAACCGUACAUUUGACAGAUACGCCCGCGCUGAUUUUUUCGUAGAUCUUAUUGAGAUACAUAUGUGUGUCAAAUUUUGUGUCAUUUUGACAAAGCGUACAGGCGUGACAGUCAAUGGUGUGAAUUUUCACCUUUGGGGGCGCUAUGGAGCCAUUUUGCAUUUUAUUGUUUAGGCGACUUCAGAAUAUCGAAUUUUUCACCAGGCCCGGUCGUCCUGCCAAAUUUCAUGAGUUUUCGCCAGUGGGAAGUGAGUUUUUUUCCAGUUCAAAGGGGAGGAAAAAUAAGAAGAAAGAAAGAAAGAAAGAAAGAAGAAAGAAAAACCGAUACAGGAACAAUAGGGCUCUCGCAGCUGCUUAGCAGCUACGCUCGGGCCCUAACUAGGACCCCGUUGGGGCACUGGCGGGCCCGAGCUGUGUCGCGUCCCCCCCCCCAACGCGCUGCCUCCCCGUCCCAUUUGUUUCCUCUGGCCAUCGCCCUCUCUGGUAACGCCCAUCACUGCAAAGACCCUUUUCCUUCAUCGGCGUUUGCUGUUCUUCCUGCCAGUGCGUGUUGCUUUCACUUACACUUGCCACAGCCAGCCUCGUGAGUGCCUAGCCUAUUGGAUAUCACUGUCAUCUACACAGGACAGUCAUAACCUUUCUAUUAAUACUUUGUUUUUUAAUUUCACAUUAAUUUCCAUAUUGUAUAAAUGACUGGAAAAAACUUGAGCCCCUGCCCCUGUAUAAUCAUGUGCACGUCCCUGUUCUCGCUCCAAGGUGAAUCUUCACUGCUCAUGUUCUCCUCAGAAAUAGUCACCUCACUCCCCUCAGGUUACUGUACACAUGCACCAACUAUCUGCUUCAGGUUUGGAUGGAACUUCAUGGUUGUCUUUUGGAGAAAUGACCAGUCAAGUUGUGUUUGAAAUUUGAUUUUUUUCAGGGGCAAAAGGAAGCCUCUGCAUUCUUGUCAAAUAUGUAAACAGCAUGUUUUUGCAGGUGCUAAAAAACAGACUCUGAGUGUGUGUGUGUGUGUGUGUGUGUGUGUGUGUGUGUGUGUGUGUGUGUGUGUGUGUGUUGGCGUGUGUGUAUAUGUGUGUGUAUCCUGCAGUACUCUGUACUCCUGCAGUGGCCAUAAAGACUUUUAAGAAUGUGGAUUUUUGGGUCAUCUUUGGCGCCCCCUAGAACUGCAGUACUCUGUACUCCUGCAGUGGCCAAAAUGACUUUUAAGAAUGUGGAUUUUUGGGUCAUCUUUGGCGCCCCCUAGAACGUAAACCGUGGGGUGCAGCGUCAUGAUUUUUACAACUUUGAAUGGGCAUGGGGUGUAGAUUGCCCUGAGCAAAUUUGGUAUCAGUGGGACGAAAGCCUUAGGAGGAGAUAGCCACAUUCCAAUGUGUGCGAAUCGGCAAAAAAUGCGAAAUAGCCCUUUAACCGUACAUUAUACAGAUACGCGCUCUUUGACUUUUUCGUAGAUCUAAUUGAGAUACACAUGAUUGUCAAUUUUUGUGUCAAUAUGACAAAGCGUUCAGGCGUGACACUCAACAAUGUGUAUUUUCAUGUAAGGGGACAAGAAAAAAUUGACUUUUUUCUCCUGCCAUGGGGGGGCGCUCUUUUGGGGAGUAAAAAUUCCUUCAAAAAUGUGUUGAUGGCUGGACAUUGCAUCAUCCUAGAAAACUUGGAGGGCAGUGAGGACAAAAAUAAAAAGUUAUAAGACUUUUAAGAAUGUGGAUUUUUGGGUUAUCUUUGGCGCCCCCUAGAACCUAAACCGUGGGGUGCAGCGUCAUGAUUUGUACAACUUUUAAUGGCCAUGGGGUGUAGACUGGCCUGAGCAAAUGUGGUGCCGGUGGAACGAAAGCCUUCGGAGGAGUUAGCGAAAUUCCAAUGUGUGCGGAUCGGCAAAAAAUGCGAAAUAACCCUUUAACCGUACAUUUGACAGAUACGCCCGCACUGACUUUUUUGUAGAUCUUAUUGAGAUACAUAUGUGUGUCAAUUUUUGUGUCAAUAUGACAAAACGUACAGACGUGACAGUCAAUAGUGUGAAUUUCCACCUUAGGGGGCGCUAUGGAGCCAUUUUGCAUUUUAUUGUUUGGGCGACUUCAGAAUAUCGAAUUUUUCACCAGGCCCGGUCGUCCUGCCAAAUUUCAUGAGUUUUCGCCAGUGGGAAGUGGGCCAUUUUCCAGUUUAAAGCGGAGGAAAAAUAAUAAUACUAGGGCCCCGGUGGGGCACUGUCGGGCCCGAGCCGCGUCGAGCCGCCCCCAGCGCGACCGCCUCCCCCUCCCGAUCGCGUCACACUCAAGGUCCAAAGAUGGUGUGCGCACUUGUCUGUGGUCAUUUCCCAUUAUAAUGAAUGGGAGGCGCAGUUUCUACCAAAACACUCGCUGCAGACAAACUACAUGUCCUAUUUGAAAAAAGUCUGGACCAUGAGUGAGGGCACAAACACAGCUAGGAUAUAUCCAAACGGCAAGUUGCUCCUCAUUACGGUGUUGCCGGGAGAGCGAUGCGAUUGAGCCAUUGAGUGAUGGGCAGGAAAAACUUGGGGGAUGGGGGGGGGGAUGUAGAUUCUUUUAAGAAUGUGGAUAUUUGGACAUUGCAUCAUCCUAGAAAACUUGGAGGCCAGUGAGGACGAAAAUAAAAAGUUAUAAGACUUUUAAAUAUGUGGAUAUUUGUGUCAUCUUUGGCGCCCCCUAGAACGUAAACCGUGGGGUGCAGCGUCAUGAUUUGAAUAACUUUUAAUGGCCAUGGGGUGUAGAUUGGCCUCAGCAAAUUUGGUGCCGAUGGAACGAAAGCCUUCAGAGGAGUUAGCCACAUUCCAAUGUGUGCGGAUCAGCAAAAAAUGCGGAAUAACCCUUUAACCGUACAUUUGACAGAUACGCGUGCAUUGACUUUUUCGUAGAUCUUAUUGAGAUACAUGUGUGUGUCAAUUUUUGUGUCAUUUUGACAAAGCGUACAGGCGUGACACUCAACAGUGCGUAUUUUCACCUUAGGGGACAAGAAAAAAUGGACUUUUUUCUCCUGCCAUGGGGGGCGCUCUUUUGGGGAGUAAAAAUUCCUUCACAAAUGUGUUGAUGGCUGGACAUUGCAUCGUCCAAGAAAACUUGGAGGCCAGUGAGGACAAAAAUAAAAAGUUAUAAGACUUUUAAGAAUGUGGAUAUUUGGGUCAUCUUUGGCGCCCCCUAGAACGUAAACCGUGGGGUGCAGCAUCAUGAUUUGUACAACUUUUAAUGGCCAUGGGGUGUAGAUUGGCCUGAGCAAAUUUGGUGUCGGUGGAAUGAAAGCCUUCGGAGGAGUUAGUGAAAUUCCAAUGUGUGCGGAUCGGCAAAAAAUGCAAAAUAGCCCUUUUACCGUACAUUAUACAGAUACGCGCUCUUUGACUUUUUCGUAGAUCUUAUUGAGAUACACGUGAUUGUCAAAUUUUGUGUCAAUAUGACAAAGCGUUUAGGCGUGACACUCAACAAUGUGUAUUUUCACCUUAGGGGACAAGAAAAAAUGGACUUUUUUCUACUGCCAUGGGGGGGCGCUCUUUUGGGGAGUAAAAAUUCCUUCACAAAUGUGUUGAUGGCUGGACAUUGCAUCAUCCUAGAAAACUUGGAGGCCAGUGAGGACAAAAAUAAAAAGUUAUAAGACUUUUAAGAAUGUGGCUUUUUGGGUUAUCUUUGGCGCCCCCUAGAACCUAAACCGUGGGGUGCAGCGUCAUGAUUUGUACAACUUUUAAUGGCCAUGGGGUGUAGAUUGGCCUGAGCAAAUUUGGUACCGGUGGAAGGAAAGCCUUCGGAGGAGUUAGCGAAAUUCCAAUGUGUGCGGAUCGGCAAAAAAUGCGAAAUAGCCCUUUAACGGUACAUUUGACAGAUACGCCCGCACUGACUUUUUUGUAGAUCUUAUUGAGAUACACAUGUGUGUCAAUUUUUGUGUCAUUUUGACAAAGCGUACAGGCGUCAGGUGAGUUUUCACCAUAGGGGGCGCUAUGGAGCCAUUUUUCAUUUUUUUGUUUGGGCGACUUCAGAAUAUCGAAUUUUUCACCAGGCCCGGUCGUCCUGCCAAAUUUCCUGAGUUUUCGCCAGUGGGAAGUGGGCCAUUUUCCAGUUUAAAGCGGAGGAAAAAUAACGAAAGAAGAAUCCAUCAGGAACAAGAGGGCUCUCGCAGCUGCUUAGCAGCUACGCUCGGGCCCUAAAUAAUAACAAAAGAAGAAUCCAUCAGGAACAAGAGGGCUCUCGCAGCUGCUUAGCAGCUACGCUCGGGCCCUAAAGAAGAACUAGGGCCCCGUUGGGGCACUGGCGGGCCCGAGCCAUGUCGCACCGCCCCCAGCGCGACCGCCUCCCCUUCCUGAUCGCGUCACACUCAAGGUCGAAAGAUGGUGUGUGCACUUGUCUGUGGUCAUUUACCGUUAUAAUGAAUGGGAGGCGCAGUUUCUACCAAAACGCUCGCUGCAGAAAAACUCCAUGUCCUAUUUGAAAAACGUCUGGACCAUGAGUGAGGGCAGAAACACAGCUAGUAUAUAUCCAAAUGGCAAGUUGCUCCUCCUUUCGGUUUUGCCGAAGAGAGCGAAGGGGAGUCAUGAUUUUUACAACUUUGAAUGGCCAUGGGAUGUAGAUCUGCUUGAGCAAAUUUGGUUUCGGUGGGACGAAAGCCUUAGGAGGAGUUAGCGAAAUUCCAAUGUGUGCGGAUCGGGAAAAAAUGCGAAAUAGCCCUUUGACUGUACAUUUUACAGAUGCGUGCACAUUGACUUUUUCGUAGAUCUUAUUGAGAUACACGUGUGUGUCAAAUUUUGUGUCAUUUUGACAAAGUGUAUAGGAGUGACACUCAACAAUGUGUUUUUUCACCUUAGGGGACAAGAAAAAAUUGACUUUUUUCUCCUGCCAUGGGGGGGCGCUCUUUUCGAGAGUAAAAAUUCCUUUACAAAUGUGUUGAUGGCUGGACAUUGCAUCAUCCUAGAAAACUUGGAGGCCAGUGAGGACAAAAAUAAAAAGUUAUAAGACUAUUAAGAAUGUGGAUUUUAGGGUCAUCUUUGGCGCCCCUUAGAACGUAAACCGUGGGGUGCAGCGUCAUGAUUUUUACAACUUUGAAUGGCCAUGGGAUGUAGAUCUGCUUGAGCAAAUUUGGUGUCGGUGGGACGAAAGCCUUAGGAGGAGUUAGCGAAAUUCCAAUGUGUGCGGAUCGGGAAAAAAUGCGAAAUAGCCCUUUGACUGUACAUUUUACAGAUGCGUGCACAUUGACUUUUUCGUAGAUCUUAUUGAGAUACACGUGUGUGUCAAAUUUUGUGUCAUUUUGACAAAGCGUAUAGGAGUGACACUCAACAAUGUGUUUUUUCACCUUAGGGGACAAGAAAAAAUUGACUUUUUUCUCCUGCCAUGGGGGGGGCGCUCUUUUCGAGAGUAAAAAUUCCUUUACAAAUGUGUUGAUGGCUGGACAUUGCAUCAUCCUAGAAAACUUGGAGGCCAGUGAGGACAAAAAUAAAAAGUUAUAAGACUAUUAAGAAUGUGGAUUUUAGGGUUAUGUUUGGCGCCCCCUAGAACCUAAACUGUGGAGUGCAGCAUCAUGAUUUGUACAACUUUGAAUGGCCAUGGGGUGUAGAUUGGCCUGAGCAAAUUUGGUGGCGGUGGAACGAAAGCCUUCGGAGAAGUUAGCGAAAUUCCAAUGUGUGCGGAUCGGGAAAAAAUGCGACAUAACCCUUUAACCGUACAUUUUACAGAUACGUGCCCAUUGACUUUUUCGUAGAUCUUAUUGAGAUACACGUGAUUGUCAAAUUUUGGGUCAAUAUGACAAAGCGUAUAGGCGUGACACUCAACAAUGUGUAUUUUCACCUUAGGGGACAAGAAAAAAUUGACUUUUUUCUCCUGCCAUGGGGGGGCGCUCUUUUGGGGAGUAAAAAUUCCUUCACAAAUGUGUUGAUGGCUGGACAUUGCAUCAUCCUAGAAAACUUGGAGGGCAGUGAGGACAAAAAUAAAAAGUUAUAAGACUUUUACGAAUGUGGAUUUUGGGUUAUCUUUGGCGCCCCCUAGAACGUAAACCGUGGGGUGCAGCGUCAUGAUUUGUACAACUUUUAAUGGCCAUGGGGGGUAGAUUGGCCUGCGCAAAUGUGGUGCCGGUCGAACGAAAGCCUUCGGAGGAGUUAGCGAAAUUCCAAUGUGUGCAGAUCUGCAAAAAAUGCAAAAUAACCCAUUAACCGUACAUUUGACAGAUACGCCCGCACUGACUUUUUUGUAGAUCUUAUUGACAUACAUGUGUGUGUCAAUUUUUGUGUCAAUAUGACAAAGCGUACAGCCGUCAUGUGAAUUUUCACCUUAGGGGGCGCUAUGGAGCCAUUUUGCAUUUUAUUGUUUGGGCGACUUCAGAAUAUCGAAUUUUUCACCAGGCCCGGUCGUCCUGCCAAAUUUCCUGAGUUUUCGCCAGUGGGAAGUGGGCCAUUUUCCAGUUUAAAGCGGAGGAAAAAUAAUAACGAAAGAAGGAAACAUGCAGGAACAAGAGGGCUCUCGCAGCUGCUUAGCAGCUACGCUCGGGCCCUAACUAGGGCCCCGUUGGGGCACUGGCGGGCCCGAGCCGUGUCGCACCCCCCCCCCCCCCAACGCGCUGCCUCCCCGUCCCAUUCGUGUCCUCUGGCCAUCGCCCUCUCUGGUAACGCCCAUCACAGCAAAGACCCUUUUCCUUCAUCUGCGUUUGCUGUUCUUCCUGCCAGUGCGUGUUGCUUUCACUUACACUUGCCACAGCCAGCCUCGUGAGUGCCUAGCCUAUUGGAUAUCACUGUCACCUACACAGGACAGUCAUACUUUGUUUUUUAAUUUCACAUUAAUUUCCAUAUUGUAUAAACGACUGGAAAAAACUUGAGCCCCUGCCCCUGUAUUAUCAUGUGCACGUCCCUGUUCUAGCUCCAAGGUGAAUCUUCACUGCUCAUGUUCUCCUCAGAAGCAGUCACCUCACUCCCCUCAGGUUACUGUACACAUGCACCAACUGCCUGCUUCAGGUUUGGAUGGAGCUUCAUGGUUGUCUUUUGGAGAAAUGACCAGUCAAGUUGUGUUUGAAAUUUGAUUUUUUUCAGGGGCAAAAGGAAGCCUCUGCAUUCUUGUCAAAUAUGUAAAUAGCAUGUUUUUGCAGGUGCUAAAAAACAGACUCCGAGUGUGUGUGUGUGUGUGUGUGUGUGUGUGUGUGUGUGUGUGUGCGUGUGUGUGUGUGUGUCUGUGUGUGUAUCCUGCAGUACUCUGAGAAGAAUAAUAAGCAUAUUUCUGAGGUGAAUUUUGAAGAUUCAUCUGAGAGUUAGGUUUGAUUCGAUUCGAUUGACGCUCCCCAGCGUUCAAGUCACAUGACAUAUUUAACCGGAUGUAGCUGCAAGACGGAGCCUCGUUAACUCUCCGUUUCAACUUAUCUCAAAAGUGAGGACCUCAACCUAUAUACCAGUUUUUAAAUUGUGUUGAUAGGCCAAAUAAAACCAGAGUUAUGAUAAAUUAUGUCCGCGAUACUUUUUUUCUGCUUAUUUUGAUCACGUUCGGCGCUCGAUCGCGCUGUAUGAGACAGGAAAACAUAGCAUGCACACAUUAGCGACAGGUCUUACAGGCGGAAAAGGCUUGCCAAAAGAAAAAAAAAACACACCACAACAUCUCUCCUAUUGGUGGAAAACUUCACCACAACAACCAAUCCAAAAUUAUAUGGUGACUGAAUGACAAGGGGCGGGCGCUUACGUUCUUCCUGCAACAUGAGAAGGGAGGGAGGGACUCUCAGCAGGGAUGCAGUCUGGGACACGUAGUUGCAAACCUAGCGACUUUGUUGUUAGAUUCAAUUACUUUUCAGACCCCCUAACGACUUUUUUUUAGAAAGAAAGGGACUUUUAUCGACUUCUUCUGGAGUUUAGAGACUCUGACAUGAAGCAGGCUUUCCUUACUGAGGAGUUAGCAACGCUGCUAAGGGUGCAGAGCCACACAUGCGCUCCGAGCUCUGCAUGGGAGACUGAAGCUGACAGAGCUGCAGCAGUUAGCAGGUUUCACCCUCAGAGACCACCAGGGGUUCAUGUUGAGGCAUUUUCAGUUUUUGUUUUUUUUGCCAUAGACUGUCAGCACAAUCUGCAGUUACACUAACAAAAAUGCUGCAAAAAACAAAGAAUUAUGGAAAAAUUACACAUGGACUGACAUAGAGGAGGAUCUACACAAGUUUUUUACAUCAUGUUUUACAUCAUGCAUCAUUUACAUCAUGUUUUUUUGUAGUGGCAUAAAUAAAAAGUGACAUUUGUGAGACUAUACAGUGUUUUGUAAAUAAUUUUACAAAGAACGCCUGGGCCAUUGCCUGCAUUUUGAUGUAAAUAGAGGUAAAUUACUAUGUUCUUUGUUAAAAAUUUGCAUAUGUUUUGAAGUUUACAAUUUUUAUUUGAAGUUUAAGUUUUAAAAACAGUUCAUCACACAUAUUUGUGGUUUAAUUUCACAUUAAUUUCCAUAUUGUAUAAAUGACUGGAAAAAACUUGAGCCCCUACCCCUGUAUAAUCAUGUGCACGUCCCUGUUCUAGCUCCAAGGUGAAUCUUCACUGCUCAUGUUCUCCUCAGAAAUAGUCACCUCACUCCCCUCAGGUUACUGUACACAUGCACCAACUAUCUGCUUCAGGUUUGGAUGGAGCUUCAUGGUUGUCUUUUGGAGAAAUGAACAGUCAAGUUGUGUUUGAAAUCUGAUUUUUUUCAGGGGCAAAAGGAAGCCUCUGCAUUCUUGUCAAAUAUGUAAACAGCAUGUUUUUGCAGGUGCUAAAAAACAGACUCUGAGUGUGUGUGUGUGUGUGUGUGUGUGUGUAUAUGUGUGUGUAUCCUGCAGUACUCUGUACUCCUGCAGUGGCCAAAAUGACUUUUAAGAAUGUGGAUUUUUGGGUCAUCUUUGGCGCCCCCUAGAACGUAAACCGUGGGGUGCAGCGUCAUGAUUUUUACAACUUUGAAUGGGCAUGGGGUGUAGAUUGCCCUGAGCAAAUUUGGUAUCGGUGGGACGAAAGCCUUAGGAGGAGAUAGCCACAUUCCAAUGUGUGCGAAUCGGCAAAAAAUGCGAAAUAGCCCUUUAACCGUACAUUAUACAGAUAUGCGCUUUUUGACUUUUUCGUAGAUCUAAUUGAGAUACACAUGAUUGUCAAUUUUUGUGUCAAUAUGACAAAGCGUUCAGGCGUGACACUCAACAAUGUGUAUUUUCAUGUAAGGGGACAAGAAAAAAUUGACUUUUUUCUCCUGCCAUGGGGGGGCGCUCUUUUGGGGAGUAAAAAUUCCUUCACAAAUGUGUUGAUGGCUGGACAUUGCAUCAUCCUAGAAAACUUGGAGGGCAGUGAGGACAAAAAUAAAAAGUUAUAAGACUUUUAAGAAUGUGGAUUUUGGGUUAUCUUUGGCGCCCCCUAGAACGUAAACCGUGGGGUGCAGCGUCAUGAUUUGUACAACUUUUAAUGGCCAUGGGGGGUUGAUUGGCCUGCGCAAAUGUGGUGCCGGUCGAACGAAAGCCUUCGGAGGAGUUAGCGAAAUUCCAAUGUGUGCAGAUCUGCAAAAAAUGCAAAAUAACCCAUUAACCGUACAUUUGACAGAUAAGCCCGCACUGACUUUUUUGUAGAACUUAUUGAGAUACAUGUGUGUGUCAAUUUUUGUGUCAAUAUGACAAAGCGUACAGCCGUCAUGUGAAUUUUCACCUUAGGGGGCGCUAUGGAGCCAUUUUGCAUUUUAUUGUUUGGGCGACUUCAGAACAUCGAAUUUUUCACCAGGCCCGGUCGUCCUGCCAAAUUUCCUGAGUUUUCGCCAGUGGGAAGUGGGCCAUUUUCCAGUUUAAAGCGGAGGAAAAAUAAUAACUAGGGCCCCGUUGGGGCACUGGCGGGCCCGAGCCGUGUCGCGCUGCCCCCCCCAACGCGCUGCCUCCCCGUCCCAUUCGCGUCCUCUGGCCAUCGUCCUCUCUGGUAACGCCCAUCACUGCAAAGACCCUUUCCUUCAUCGGCGUUUGCUGUUCUUCCUGCCAGUGCGUGUUGCUUUCACUUACACUUGCCACAGCCAGCCUCGUGAGUGCCUAGCCUAUUGGAUAUCACUGUCACCUACACAGGACAGUCAUUACCUUUCUAUUAAUACUUUGUUUUUUAAUUUCACAUUAAUUUCCAUAUUGUAUAAAUGACUGGAAAAAACUUGAGCCCCUGCCCCUGUAUAAUCAUGUGCACGUCCCUGUUCUAGCUCCAAGGUGAAUCUUCACUGCUCAUGUUCUCCUCAGAAAUAGUCACCUCACUCCCCUCAGGUUACUGUACACAUGCACCAACUAUCUGCUUCAGGUUUGGAUGGAGCUUCAUGGUUGUCUUUUGGAGAAAUGAACAGUCAAGUUGUGUUUGAAAUCUGAUUUUUUUCAGGGGCAAAAGGAAGCCUCUGCAUUCUUGUCAAAUAUGUAAACAGCAUGUUUUUGCAGGUGCUAAAAAACAGACUCUGAGUGUGUGUGUGUGUGUGUGUGUGUGUGUGUGUGUGUGUGUGUGUGUGUGUGGCGUGUGUGUAUAUGUGUGUGUAUCCUGCAGUACUCUGUACUCCUGCAGUGGCCAAAAAGACUUUUAAGAAUGUGGAUUUUUGGGUCAUCUUUGGCGCCCCCUAGAACUGCAGUACUCUGUACUCCUGCAGUGGCCAAAAUGACUUUUAAGAAUGUGGAUUUUUGGGUCAUCUUUGGCACCCCCUAGAACGUAAACCGUGGGGUGCAGCGUCAUGAUUUUUACAACUUUGAAUGGGCAUGGGGUGUAGAUUGCCCUGAGCAAAUUUGGUAUCAGUGGGACGAAAGCCUUAGGAGGAGAUAGCCACAUUCCAAUGUGUGCGAAUCGGCAAAAAAUGCGAAAUAGCCCUUUAACCGUACAUUAUACAGAUACGCGCUCUUUGACUUUUUCGUAGAUCUAAUUGAGAUACACAUGAUUGUCAAUUUUUGUGUCAAUAUGACAAAGCGUUCAGGCGUGACACUCAACAAUGUGUAUUUUCAUGUAAGGGGACAAGAAAAAAUUGACUUUUUUCUCCUGCCAUGGGGGGGCGCUCUUUUGGGGAGUAAAAAUUCCUUCACAAAUGUGUUGAUGGCUGGACAUUGCAUCAUCCUAGAAAACUUGGAGGGCAGUGAGGACAAAAAUAAAAAGUUAUAAGACUUUUAAGAAUGUGGAUUUUUGGGUUAUCUUUGGCGCCCCCUAGAACCUAAACCGUGGGGUGCAGCGUCAUGAUUUGUACAACUUUUAAUGGCCAUGGGGUGUAGACUGGCCUGAGCAAAUGUGGUGCCGGUGGAACGAAAGCCUUCGGAGGAGUUAGCGAAAUUCCAAUGUGUGCGGAUCGGCAAAAAAUGCGAAAUAACCCUUUAACCGUACAUUUGACAGAUACGCCCGCACUGACUUUUUUGUAGAUCUUAUUGAGAUACAUAUGUGUGUCAAUUUUUGUGUCAAUAUGACAAAACGUACAGACGUGACAGUCAAUAGUGUGAAUUUCCACCUUAGGGGGCGCUAUGGAGCCAUUUUGCAUUUUAUUGUUUGGGCGACUUCAGAAUAUCGAAUUUUUCACCAGGCCCGGUCGUCCUGCCAAAUUUCAUGAGUUUUCGCCAGUGGGAAGUGGGCCAUUUUCCAGUUUAAAGCGGAGGAAAAAUAAUAAUAAUAAUAACUAGGGCCCCGUUGGGGCACUGGCGGGCCCGAGCUGUGUCACGCCGCCCCCAACACGACCGCCUCUCCCUCCCGAUCGCGUCACACUCAAGGUUCAACGAUGGUGUGCGCACUUGUCUGUGGUCAUUUACCAUUAUAAUGAAUGGGAGGCGCAGUUUCUACCAAAACGCUUGCUGCAGACAAACUACAUGUCCUAUUUGAAAAAAGUCUGGACCAUGAGUGAGGGCACAAACACAGCUAGGAUAUAUCCAAAUGGCAAGUUCCUCCUCCUUUCGUUUUUUUCCGAGAGAGCGAUGUGUUUGAGCCAUUGAGCGAUGGGCAGGAAAAACUUGACUUUUUCUCCUGCCAUGGGGGGGCGCUCUUUUGGGGAGAAAAAAUUCCUUCACAAAUGUGUUGAUGGCUAGACAUUGCAUCAUCCUAGAAAACUUUGAAGCCAAUGAGGACAAAAAUGAAAAGUUAUAAGACUUUUAAGAAUGUGGAUUUUUGGGUUAUCUUUGGCGACCCCUAGAACGUAAACCGUGGGGUGCAGCAUCAUGAUUUGUACAACUUUUAAUGGCCAUGGGGUGUAGAUUGGCCUGAGCAAAUUUGGUGCCGGUGGAACGAAAGCUUUAGGAGGAGUUAGCCACAUUCCAAUGUGUGCGAAUCAACCAAAAAUGCGAAACAGCCCUUUAACCGUACAUUUUGCAGACACGUGCGCAUUGUUUUUUUCGUAGAUCUUAUUGAGAUACACGUGAUUAUCAAAUUUUGUUUCAAUAUGACAAAGCGUACAGGCGUGACACUCAACAAUGUGUAUUUUCACCUUAUAGGACAAGAAAAAAUGGCCUUUUUUCUCCUGCCAUGGGGGGGCGCUCUUUUGGGGAGUAAAAAUUCCUUCACAAAUGUGUUGAUGGCUGGACAUUGCAUCAUCCUAGAAAACUUGGAGGCCAGUGAGGACAGAAAUAAAAAGUUAUAAGACUUGUAAGAAUGUGGAUUUUUGGGUUAUCUUUGGCGCCCCCUACAACGUAAACCGUGGGGUGCAGCGUCAUGAUUUGUACAACUUUGAAUGGCCAUGGGGUGUAGAUUGGCCUGAGCAAAUUUGGUGCCGGUGGAACGAAAGCCUUCGGAGGAGUUAGCGAAAUUCCAAUGUGUGCGGAUCGGCAAAAAAUGCGAAAUAGCCCUUUAAACGUACAUUUGACAGAUACGCCCGCACUGACUUUUUUGUAGAUCUUAUUGAGAUACACGUGUGUGUCAAAUUUUGUGUCAUUUUGACAAAGCGUACAGGCGUGACACUCAAUCAUGUGAAUUUUUCACCUUAGGGGGCGCUAUGGAGCCAUUUUGCAUUUGAUUGUUUGGGUGACUUCAGAAUAUCGAAUUUUUCACCAGGCCCGGUCGUCCUGCCAAAUUUCAUGAGUUUUCACCAGUGGGAAGUGGGCCAUUUUCCAGUUCAAAGGGGCAGAAAAAUAACUAGGACCCCGUUGGGGCACUGGCGGGCCCGAGCUGUGUCGCGUCCCCCCCCCAACGCGCUGCCUCCCCGUCCCAUUUGUGUCCUCUGGCCAUCGCCCUCUUUGGUAACGCCCAUCACUGCAAAGACCCUUUUCCUUCAUCGGCGUUUGCUGUUUUUCCUGCCAGUGCGUGUUGCUUUCACUUACACUUGCCACAGCCAGCCUCGUGAGUGCCUAGCCUAUUGGAUAUCACUGUCACCUACACAGGACAGUCAUUACCUUUCUAUUAAUACUUUGUUUUUUAAUUUCACAUUAAUUUCCAAAUUGUAUAAACGACUGGAAAAAACUUGAGCCCCUGCCCCUGUAUAAUCAUGUGCACGUCUCUGUUCUAGCUCUAAGGUAAAUCUUCACUGCUCAUGUUCUCCUCAGAAGCAGUCACCUCACUCCCCUCAGGUUACUGUACACAUGCACCAACUGCCUGCUUCAGGUUUGGAUGGAGCUUCAUGGUUGUCUUUUGGAGAAAUGACCAGUCAAGUUGUGUUUGAAAUUUGAUUUUUUUCAGGGGCAAAAGGAGCCUCUGCAUUUUUGUCAAAUAUGUAAAUAGCAUGUUUUUGCAGGUGCUACAAACCAGACUCUGAGUGUGUGUGUGUGCGUGUGUGUGUGUGUGUGCGUUCAAGUCACAUGACAUAUUUAACCGGAUGUAGCUGCAAGACGGAGCCUCGUUGACUCUCCGUUUCAAUUUAUCUCAAAAGUGAGGACCUCAACCUAUAUACCAGUUUUUAAAUUGUGUUGAUAGGCCAAAUAAAACCAGAGUUAUGAUAAAUUAUGUCCGCGAUACUUGUUUUCUGCUUAUUUUGAUCACGUUCGGCGCUCGAUCGCGCUGUAUGAGACAGGAAAACAUAGCAUGCAGACAUUAGCGACAGGUCUUACAGGCGGAAAAGGCUUGCCAAAGGAAAAAAAAUACACACCACAACAUCUCUCCUAUUGGUGGAAAACUUCACCACAACAACCAAUCCAAAAUUAUAUGGUGACUGAUUGACAAGGGGCGGGAACUUACGUUCUUCCUGCAAUAUGAGAAGGGAGGGAGGGACUCUCAGCAGGGAUGCAGUCUGGGACACGUAGUUGCAAACCUAGCGACUUUGUUGUUAGAUUCAAUGACUUUUCAGACCCCCUAACGACUUUUUUUUAGAAAGAAAGUGACUUUUAUCGACUUCUUCUGGAGUUUAGAGACUCUGACAUGAAGCAGGCUUUCCUUACUGAGGAGUUAGCAACGCUGCUAAGGGUGCAGAGCCACACAUGCGCUCCGAGCUCUGCAUGGGAGACUGAAGCUGACAGAGCUGCAGCAGUUAGCAGGUUUCACCCUCAGAGACCACCAGGGGUUCAUGUUGAGGCAUUUUCAGUUUUUUUUUUUUUUUUUUGCCAUAGACACUGUCAGCACAAUCUGCAGUUACACUAACAAAAAUGCUGCAAAAAACAAAGAAUUAUGGAAAAAUUACACAUGGACUAACAUAGAGGAGGAUCUACACAAGUUUUUUACAUCAUGUUUUACAUCAUGCAUCAUUUACAUCAUGUUUUUUUGUAGUGGCAUAAAUAAAAAGUGACAUUUGUGAGACUAUACAGUGUUUUGUAAAUAAUUUUACAAAGAACACCUGGGCCAUUGCCUGCAUUUUGAUGUCAAUAGAGGUAAAUUACUAUGUUCUUUGUUAAAAAUUUGCAUAUGUUUUGAAGUUUACAAUUUUUAUUUGAAGUUUAAGUUUUAAAAACAGUUCAUCACACAUAUUUGUGGUUUUCACAGUAAAAACGUUACUUUUUUCCACUCGGAUUUUAUGUUUUGUGUGUGAAUUUGGGUCCAAUGUGUAAAUAUAGUAUGUCAAAAUGAUAAAAUAACUGUAAAUUGACACAGGUGAGGUUGUGCUGAAAAAAAUGAUACCAGGCAAGGCAAGGUAAAAAUUUUGUAAGAGGAAAUAUAAAGGUAAAAUCUAAAGUAGUCAAAAACGGCCAAUAGUGACUCACAGACUCCACUGACAAGUCCCUUUGGCGCCACUCAGUGGGCAAAACUACUUUGUCUACUGUAAUGUAUAUUUGGGUCAUCUUUGGCGCCCCCUAAAACGUAAACCGUGGGGUGCAGCGUCAUGAUUUUUACAACUUUGAAUGGCCAUGGAGUGUAGAUUGGCCUGAGCAAAUUUGGUGUCAGUGGGACGAAAGCCUUAGGAGGAGUUAGCGAAAUUCCAAUGUGUGCGAAUCGGCAAAAAAUGCAAAAUAGCCCUUUUACCGUACAUUAUACAGAUACGCGCGCAUUGACUUUUUCGUAGAUCUAAUUGAGAUACACAUGAUUGUCAAUUUUUGUGUCAUUUUGCCAAAGCGUACAGGCGUGACAGUCAACAAUGUGUAUUUUCACCUUAGGGGACAAGAAAAAAUGGACUUUUUUCUCCUGCCAUGGGGGGCGCUCUUUUAGGGAGUAAAAAUUCCUUCACAAAUGUGUUGAUGGCUGGACAUUGCAUCAUCCUAGAAAACUUGGAGGCCAGUGAGGACAAAAAUAAAAAGUUAUAAGACUUUUAAAAAUGUGGAUUUUUGGGUUAUCUUUGGCGCCCCCUAGAACCUAAACCGUGGGGUGCAGCGUCAUGAUUUGAAUAACUUUUAAUGGCCAUGGGGUGUAGAUUGGCCUGAGCAAAUGUGGUGCCGGUGGUACGAAAGCCUUCGGAGGAGUUAGCGAAAUUCCAAUGUGUGCGGAUCGGCAAAAAAUGCGAAAUAACCCUUUAACCGUACAUUAGACAGAUACGCGCGCAUGGACUUUUUUGUAGAUCUUAUUGAGAUACAUGUGUGUGUCAAUUUUUGUGUCAUUUUGACAAAGCGUACAGGCGUGACAGUCAAUAGUGUGAAUUUUCACCUUAGGGGACAAGAAAAAAUGGACUUUUUUCUCCUGCCAUGGGGGGGCGCUCUUUUGGGGAGUAAAAAUUCCUUCACAAAUGUGUUGAUGGCUGGACAUUGCAUCAUCCUAGAAAACUUGGAGGCCAGUGAGGGCAAAAAUAAAAAGUUAUAAGACUUUUAAAUAUGUGGAUUUUAGGGUUAUCUUUGGCGCCCCCUAGAACCUAAACCGUGGGGUGCAGCGUCAUGAUUUGAAUAACUUUUAAUGGCCAUGGGGUGUAGAUUGGCCUGAGCAAAUGUGGUGCCGGUGGAACGAAAGCCUUCGGAGGAGUUAGCGAAAUUCCAAUGUGUGCGGAUCGGCAAAAAAUGCGAAAUAACCCUUUAACCGUACAUUUGACAGAUACGCCCGCACUGACUUUUUUGUAGAUCUUAUUGAGAUACAUGUGUGUGUCAAUUUUUGUGUCAUUUUGACAAAGCGUACAGGCGUGACAGUGAAUAGUGUGAAUUUUCACCUUAGGGGGCGCUAUGGAGCCAUUUUGCAUUUUCUUGUUUGGGCGACUUCGGAAUAUCAAAUUUUUCACCAGGCCCGGUCGUCCUGCCAAAUUUCAUGAGUUUUCGCCAGUGGGAAGUGGGCCAUUUUCCAGUUCAAAGGGGAGGAAAAAUAACUAGGGCCCCGUUGGGGCACUGGCGGGCCCGAGCCGUGUCACGCUGCCCCCAGCGCAACCGCCUCCCCCACCCGAUCGCGUCACACUCAAGGUCCAAAGAUGGUGUGCGCACUUGUUUGUGGUCAUUUACCAUUAUAAUGAACGGGAGGCGCAGUUUCUACCAAAACGCUCGCUGCAGAAAAACUCCAUGUCCUAUUUGAAAAAAGUCUGGACCAUGAGUGAGGGCACAAACACAGCUAAGAUAUAUCCAAAUGGCAAGUUGCUCCUCCUUUCGCUUUUGCCGAGAGAGCAGUGCGUUUGAGCCAUUGAAUGAUGAACAGGAAAAACUUGACUUUAUUCUCCUGCCAUGGGGGGGCGCUCUUUUAACGAGAAAAAACUCCUUCACAAAUGUGUUGAUGGCUGGACAUUGCAUCAUCCUAGAAAACAUGGAGGCCAGUGAGGACAAAAAUAAAAAGUUAUAAGACUUUUAAAUAUGUGGAUUUUAGGGUUAUCUUUGGCGCCCCCUAGAACCUAAACCGUGGGGUGCAGCGUCAUGAUUUGAAUAACUUUUAAUGGCCAUGGGGUGUAGAUUGGCCUGAGCAAAUGUGGUGCCGGUGGAACAAAAGCCUUCGGAGGAGUUAGCGAAAUUCCAAUGUGUGCGAAUCUGCAAAAAAUGCGAAAUAACCCUUUAACCGUACAUUUUACAGAUACGUGGCCAUUGAAUUUUUUGAAGAUCUUAUUGAAAUACACGUGUAUGUAAAAUUUUGUGUCAAUACGACAAAACAUACAGGCGUAGCACUCAACAAUGUGUAUUUUCACCUUAGUGGACAAGAAAAAAUGGACUUUUUUCUCCUGCCAUGGGGGGGCGCUCUUUUGGCGAGUAAAAAUUCCUUCACAAAUGUGUUGAUGGCUGGACAUUGCAUCAUCCUAGAAAACUUGGAGGCCAGUGGGGACAAAAAUAAAAAGUUAUAAGACUUUUAAAUAUGUGGAUUUUACGGUUAUCUUUGGCGCCCCCUAGAACCUAAACCGUGGGGUGCAGCGUCAUGAUUUGAAUAACUUUUAAUGGCCAUGGGGUGUAGAUUGGCCUGAGCAAAUGUGGUGCCGGUGGAACGAAAGCCUUCGGAGGAGUUAGCGAAAUUCCAAUGUGUGCGGAUCGGCAAAAAAUGCGAAAUAACCCUUUAACCGUACAUUUGACAGAUACGCCCGCACUGACUUUUUUGUAGAUCUUAUUGAGAUACAUGUGUGUGUCAAUUUUUGUGUCAUUUUGACAAAGCGUACAGGCGUGACAGUGAAUAGUGUGAAUUUUCACCUUAGGGGGCGCUAUGGAGCCAUUUUGCAUUUUCUUGUUUGGGCGACUUCGGAAUAUCAAAUUUUUCACCAGGCCCGGUCGUCCUGCCAGAUUUCAUGAGUUUUCGCCAGUGGGAAGUGGGCCAUUUUCCAGUUCAAAGGGGAGGAAAAAUAAUAAUAAUAACAAAAGAAGGAAACUACAGGAACAAGAGGGCUCUCGCAGCUGCUUAGCAGCUACGCUCGGGCCCUAAAGAAAGAAACAAAGAAAAACCACUUGGGGAAUAAUAGGGCCUACGCCCGGCUGCUCUGCAGCUGGCUCGGGCCCUAAUAAGACUUUGAAAUAUGUGGAUUUUAGGGUUAUCUUUGGCGCCCCCUAGAACCUAAACCGUGGGGUGCAGCGUCAUGAUUUGAAUAACUUUUAAUGGCCAUGGGGUGUAGAUUGGCCUGAGCAAAUUUGGUGCCGGUGGAACGCCAGCCUUAGGAGGAGUUAGCGAAAUUCCAAUGUGUGCGGAUCAGCAAAAAAUGCGGAAUAACCCUUUAACCGUACAUUUGACAGAUACGCGCGCAUUGACUUUUUCGUAGAUCUUAUUGAGAUACAUGUGUGUGUCAAAUUUUGUGUCAAUAUGACAAAGCGUACAGGCGUGACACUCAACAAUGUGUAUUUUCACCUUAGGGGACAAGAAAAAAUUGACUUUUUUCUCCUGCCAUGGGGGGCGCUCUUUUGGGGAUUAAAAAUUCCUUCACAAAUGUGUUGAUGGCUGGACAUUGCAUCAUCCUAGAAAACUUGGAGGCCAGUGAGGUCAAAAAUAAAAAGUUAUAAGACUUUUAAAUAUGUGGAUUUUAGGGUUAUCUUUGGCGCCCCCUAGAACCUAAACCGUGGGGUGCAGCGUCAUGAUUUGAAUAACUUUUAAUGGCCAUGGGGUGUAGAUUGGCCUGAGCAAAUGUGGUGCCGGUGGAACGAAAGCCUUCGGAGGAGUUAGCGAAAUUCCAAUGUGUGCGGAUCGGCAAAAAAUGCGGAAUAACCCUUUAACCGUACAUUUGACAGAUACGCCCGCACUGACUUUUUUGUAGAUCUUAUUGAGAUACAUGUGUGUGUCAAUUUUUGUGUCAAUAUGACAAAGCGUAAAGGCGUGACAGUCAAUAGUGUGAAUUUUCACCUUAGGGGGCGCUAUGGAGCCAUUUUGCAUUUUAUUGUUUGGGCUACUUCAGAAUAUCGAAUUUUUCACCAGGCCCGGUCAUCCUGCCAAAUUUCAUGAGUUUUCGCCAGUGGGAAGUGGGCCAUUUUCCAGUUCAAAGGGGAGGAAAAAGAAGAAAGAAAGAAACAAAGAACUAGGACCCCGUUGGGGCACUGUCGGGCCCGAGCCGUGUCGCGCCGCCCCCAGUGCGACCGCCUCCCCCUCCCGAUCGCGUCACACUCAAGAUCCAAAGAUGGUGUGCGCACUUGUCUGUGGUCAUUUCCUAUUAUAAUGAAUGGGAGGCGCAGUUUCUACCAAAACACUCGCUGCAGACAAACUUCAUGUCCUAUUUGAAAAAAGUCUGGACCAUGAGUGAGGGCACAAACACAGCUAUGAUAUAUCGAAAUGGCAGGUUGCUCCUCCUUACGGUGUUGCCUGGAGAGCGAUGCGAUUGAGCCAUUGAGCGAUGGGCAGGAAAAACUUAACUUUUUCUCCUGCCAUAUGGGGGGGGGGGGGAUGUGGAUUCUUUGAAGAAUGUGGAUUUUUGGGUCAUCUUUGGCGCCCCCUAGAACGUAAACCGUGGGGUGCAGCGUCAUGAUUUUUACAACUUUGAAUGGCCAUGGGGUGUAGAUUGGCCUGAGCAAAUUUGGUGUCAGUGGGACGAAAGCCUUAGGAGGAGUUAGCCACAUUCCAAUGUGUGCGAAUCGGCAAAAAAUGCAAAAUAGCCCUUUAACCGUACAUUUGACAGAUACGCGCGAAUCGAUUCUUUUGUAGAUCUUAUUGAGAUACAUAUGUGUGUCAAUUUUUGUGUCAAUAUGAUAAAGCGUACAGGCGUGACAGUCAAUAGUGUGAAUUUCCACCUAGGGGACAAGAAAAAAUUGGCUUUUUUUUCCUGCCAUGGGGGGGCGCUCUUUUGGGGAGUAAAAAUUCCUUCACAAAUGUGUUGAUGGCUGGACAUUGCAUCAUCCUAGAAAACUUGGAGGCCAGUGAGGACAAAAAUAAAAAGUUAUAAGACUUUUAAAUAUGUGGAUUUUAGGGUUAUCUUUGGCGCCCCCUAGAACCUAAACCGUGGGAUGCAGCGUCAUGAUUUGAAUAACUUUUAAUGGCCAUGGGGUGUAGAUUGGCCUGAGCAAAUGUGGUACCGGUGGAAUGAAAGCCUUCGGAGGAGUUAGCGAAAUUCCAAUGUGUGCGGAUCGGCAAAAAAUGCGGAAUAACCCUUUAACCGUACAUUUGACAGAUACGCGCGCAUUGACUUUUUCGUAGAUCUUAUUGAGAUACAUGUGUGUGUCAAUUUUUGUGUCAUUUUGCCAAAGCGUACAGGUGUUACACUCAACAAUGUGUAUUUUCACCUUAGGGGACAAGAAAAAAUGGACUUUUUUCUCCUGCCAUGGGGGGGCGCUCUUUUGGGGAGUAAAAAUUCCUUCACAAAUGUGUUGAUGGCUGGACAUUGCAUCAUCCUAGAAAACUUGGAGGCCAGUGAGGGCAAAAAUAAAAAGUUAUAAGACUUUUAAAUAUGUGGAUCUUAGGGUUAUCUUUGGCGCCCCCUAGAACCUAAACCGUGGGGUGCAGCGUCAUGAUUUGAAUAACUUUUAAUGGCCAUGGGGUGUAGAUUGGCCUGAGCAAAUGUGGUGCCGGUGGAACGAAAGCCUUCGGAGGAGUUAGCGAAAUUCCAAUGUGUGCGGAUCGGCAAAAAAUGCGAAAUAACCCUUUAACCGUACAUUUGACAGAUACGCCCGCACUGACUUUUUUGUAGAUCUUAUUGAGAUACAUGUGUGUGUCAAUUUUUGUGUCAUUUUGACAAAGCGUACAGGCGUGACAGUCAAUAGUGUGAAUUUUCACCUUAGGGGGCGCUAUGGAGCCAUUUUGCAUUUUCUUGUUUGGGCGACUUCGGAAUAUCAAAUUUUUCACCAGGCCCGGUCGUCCUGCCAAAUUUCAUGAGUUUUCGCCAGUGGGAAGUGGGCCAUUUUCCAGUUCAAAGGGGAGGAAAAAUAAUAACUAGGGCCCCGUUGGGGCACUGGCGGGCCCGAGCCAUGUCGCACCGCCCCCAGCGCGACCGCCUCCCCCUCCUGAUCGCGUCACACUCAAGGUCGAAAGAUGGUGUGUGCACUUGUCUGUGGUCAUUUACCGUUAUAAUGAAUGGGAGGCGCAGUUUCUACCAAAACGCUCGCUGCAGAAAAACUCCAUGUCCUAUUUGAAAAACGUCUGGACCAUGAGUGAGGGCAGAAACACAGCUAGUAUAUAUCCAAAUGGCAAGUUGCUCCUCCUUUCGGUUUUGCCGAAGAGAGCGAAGGGGAGUCAUGAUUUUUACAACUUUGAAUGGCCAUGGGAUGUAGAUCUGCUUGAGCAAAUUUGGUUUCGGUGGGACGAAAGCCUUAGGAGGAGUUAGCGAAAUUCCAAUGUGUGCGGAUCGGGAAAAAAUGCGAAAUAGCCCUUUGACUGUACAUUUUACAGAUGCGUGCACAUUGACUUUUUCGUAGAUCUUAUUGAGAUACACGUGUGUGUCAAAUUUUGUGUCAUUUUGACAAAGUGUAUAGGAGUGACACUCAACAAUGUGUUUUUUCACCUUAGGGGACAAGAAAAAAUUGACUUUUUUCUCCUGCCAUGGGGGGGCGCUCUUUUCGAGAGUAAAAAUUCCUUUACAAAUGUGUUGAUGGCUGGACAUUGCAUCAUCCUAGAAAACUUGGAGGCCAGUGAGGACAAAAAUAAAAAGUUAUAAGACUAUUAAGAAUGUGGAUUUUAGGGUCAUCUUUGGCGCCCCUUAGAACGUAAACCGUGGGGUGCAGCGUCAUGAUUUUUACAACUUUGAAUGGCCAUGGGAUGUAGAUCUGCUUGAGCAAAUUUGGUGUCGGUGGGACGAAAGCCUUAGGAGGAGUUAGCGAAAUUCCAAUGUGUGCGGAUCGGGAAAAAAUGCGAAAUAGCCCUUUGACUGUACAUUUUACAGAUGCGUGCACAUUGACUUUUUCGUAGAUCUUAUUGAGAUACACGUGUGUGUCAAAUUUUGUGUCAUUUUGACAAAGCGUAUAGGAGUGACACUCAACAAUGUGUUUUUUCACCUUAGGGGACAAGAAAAAAUUGACUUUUUUCUCCUGCCAUGGGGGGCGCUCUUUUCGAGAGUAAAAAUUCCUUUACAAAUGUGUUGAUGGCUGGACAUUGCAUCAUCCUAGAAAACUUGGAGGCCAGUGAGGACAAAAAUAAAAAGUUAUAAGACUAUUAAGAAUGUGGAUUUUAGGGUUAUGUUUGGCGCCCCCUAGAACCUAAACUGUGGAGUGCAGCAUCAUGAUUUGUACAACUUUGAAUGGCCAUGGGGUGUAGAUUGGCCUGAGCAAAUUUGGUGGCGGUGGAACGAAAGCCUUCGGAGAAGUUAGCGAAAUUCCAAUGUGUGCGGAUCGGGAAAAAAUGCGACAUAACCCUUUAACCGUACAUUUUACAGAUACGUGCCCAUUGACUUUUUCGUAGAUCUUAUUGAGAUACACGUGAUUGUCAAAUUUUGGGUCAAUAUGACAAAGCGUAUAGGCGUGACACUCAACAAUGUGUAUUUUCACCUUAGGGGACAAGAAAAAAUUGACUUUUUUCUCCUGCCAUGGGGGGCGCUCUUUUGGGGAGUAAAAAUUCCUUCACAAAUGUGUUGAUGGCUGGACAUUGCAUCAUCCUAGAAAACUUGGAGGGCAGUGAGGACAAAAAUAAAAAGUUAUAAGACUUUUACGAAUGUGGAUUUUGGGUUAUCUUUGGCGCCCCCUAGAACGUAAACCGUGGGGUGCAGCGUCAUGAUUUGUACAACUUUUAAUGGCCAUGGGGGGUAGAUUGGCCUGCGCAAAUGUGGUGCCGGUCGAACGAAAGCCUUCGGAGGAGUUAGCGAAAUUCCAAUGUGUGCAGAUCUGCAAAAAAUGCAAAAUAACCCAUUAACCGUACAUUUGACAGAUACGCCCGCACUGACUUUUUUGUAGAUCUUAUUGACAUACAUGUGUGUGUCAAUUUUUGUGUCAAUAUGACAAAGCGUACAGCCGUCAUGUGAAUUUUCACCUUAGGGGGCGCUAUGGAGCCAUUUUGCAUUUUAUUGUUUGGGCGACUUCAGAAUAUCGAAUUUUUCACCAGGCCCGGUCGUCCUGCCAAAUUUCCUGAGUUUUCGCCAGUGGGAAGUGGGCCAUUUUCCAGUUUAAAGCGGAGGAAAAAUAAUAACGAAAGAAGGAAACAUGCAGGAACAAGAGGGCUCUCGCAGCUGCUUAGCAGCUACGCUCGGGCCCUAAUAACAAAAGAAGGAAACUACAGGAACAAGAGGGCUCUCGCAGCUGCUUAGCAGCUACGCUCGGGCCCUAAUAAUAACAAAAGAAGGAAACUACAGGAACAAGAGGGCUCUCGCAGCUGCUUAGCAGCUACGCUCGGGCCCUAAUAAGAAGAAGAAGAAGAAAGAAGAAUCCAUCAGGAAUAAUAG